rnacentral:lncRNA from 1 species
AUGUAUUUCUGAAAGUGUACCUUUAUGAUAGUUUUAGUUUGUUGUGUGCGGCUGUUACUAGGAAACAAAGCUCUGAUCCUGGUUCUAACAAACUUAACUAAACUCUUUGCACAAACAAUAAAUAGAUACAUUGUGUAUUAAGAUGUUCCACUCCUUCUACUGAUAUUUUGUUUAAUUAUUUUUCUUAAAGGAUAAAUUAAUUUGGUUUUAAAGUUAAUUGUUAUUGUGUAAGUAAAUUGGUGUCUCGUAGCAUUCUUCAGGUAGUUGAUUAAUUAUGUUAUCUGAAUCUUUGCAGCUAUUGCAAAUAGCUGAUGGUUGUGGUCCUCUAGGCUGGCUAUCUCUGGCUGCGGAAUCGGCAAACAAAGGACUCGUUGUUGGUCUGAUUGGCCCUCAUCUUCCAUUCACAAACAAUUAUUAUGUAUGGGAAGACAAAUUCCAAGUAGCACAUUUUCGUGGAUGUGAAAUGCAACAGCAUGUUUGGAUAGAUGACCGAAAAGGAUCUUCUUGAAAAACUAAAAUAUUUGUGUAACACUAUAUGCUCCUCUCUUAGCUUCUGUUGGAAUUACAUGAUCUGUUAUUCUCGUUCCUUCUCAAUACGAGGAAAACUGAAAAAGUACUUUGCAUGAGUGUAAAAAUAAAUAAUUUUCAAUUUAUCAACACUGAAUGAGACAUUUGAAUGUGUUCAAUUGGCUAUGAUGACUGGCCUGGGAAAUGACAAAUUUAUAUUUGGGAAAGCUUGACAAAGUAUAACUUCUGCAAUAUAUGUACCUGAUGUAGAUCUUACGAGUAUUGAGUAUCGAUCAGCUUCUCGAAACAGUAUGUCCUUGUCAGAAUCCCAUCUUCUCCUUUUAGAUGGGUUAAUAUUAAUAUAAGAUAUUAUAUUUGAAUUUGUUCCUUUCUAUCAUGAUGUAAUUCUACGUGUAGGUACGUCGAUACCAAGAAGAUGAAUAUCCUUUUCUAUAAAACAUGUCCCUUGGAUUGAUUUGGGUUCGUUACUAAACUUUGUACUGCUUCCUCAUCUGACUAUCACCUCUGAUAAAUCUCCUUUUGAUUCAGUUAUGUAUUAUUGUUUGUUUCCAAGUAUUUAUCACUCUGGUUUUUGAUAAAUGUAGUGGGUGUUGGCAGUUGCAAUACAGAGCAGGUCGAAUGGUGUAAGGUGAUGUUGCUGUGGGACAUUGCAACUGCUCCCAGAUCAAUUCAAACUCCAUUUGAAUGUUUUAGUUCAUCAAUGCUUUUGAUUAUAUUAUUUUAUAGAAUAAUGGGGUUACUCUUAUUAUUGAGGGCCUUGCGAAGAGUAUUUUCAAUUGUAUUCAUUGCUUCAGGUACCUGUUAAUAUGUCUUAUGAGUAUUCACCUACAACUUGAUAUCCUAAGAGGAGAUUUGUACCUGUUUGCUCAAGUAUUUUCACUAUGGAACUGAGUGGCAGUUCUUGGUGAUUUUACAAUUUGAGCAUUCAGUUUGAAGCCCCUUUAAAUUUUCAAUGGUUGUGUUUUUAUAGUUUUGGUGUAUCACUUCAUGUCACAAUUGAAUACGAAAUUCAUUACUUCAUGAUAUGGGUGGCCUCUCUCCCUCUAUCUGAUUCUAUAUCAUGCCUUCCAAUGUUUUGUGUUCUAGAUGCCCUAAUCUUCUUGUAUUUGAAUGUCAUUUAUUUAGCUCUUUCAAAAUUUCUAUUUCAACUUCUUACUUAAAUGUCAUGUCCAUGUAUUAUCAAAAAUAAAAAAAUAAAAAAAUUGGAAUGGGCGGCUGCCAACCCGUCACCGCCCAGCUUCCUUUGAGGAGGCGCCACAAGGUGGCGCCCCAACCUAGAGGCGGGAUUAUGCUGUCACUCUUAUGUUUAUACUAUUAGACUAGUAUCUAUAUUUUUAAUGUUUAUACUUUCUUCUUGAUCUCAUGCAAAUAUGGUAUGCAAUAGUACCAGAACUUGUAUCCAAAAGCAUAACCCAAAGAAUAAAAAAGACAGUUGAAGGGCGCAUCCCACCUGGCACCGCCCCAACUCCCUCUCAGGUGGCGCACCCAGGGUGCGCCCCAACCACUAGUUUUCUACAACUCUGCGCUGCUGUGAAGGCACUUAAUUUUUUAUUUCAUUUUUGCAAGUGAUGAACGCACUUUUAUUUUAAAGUACUCUACUAAUCCAAAAAAUAUUGAGGGGUGCCUACUUAUAAGUACUAAUCUAUUGUGUGGAAUAAAUUUUUCUUCCCACUCAUGGGAGAGGGAGAAAAAAGAGGCAUGAGGUUUAGAGACCUUCACAGCUUUAAUCUUGCUAUGUUAGCAAAGCAGUGUUGGCGACUACUCCAAAAUCCUGACUCUUUGUGUACACGAGUUUUGAGGGUAAAAUAUUAUCCCAAUGGAGAUAUUAUGAAAUCUAGCCCCAAGAAAGGCUCUUCGUUCACUUGGCAUAGUUUGUAGCUGGUAUUCAAACUUUGAGAAGGGGAUGCAUAUGGCUUGUGGGUUCUGGCUCAACAUCAACGUUUGGGAUGACCCAUGGAUACCCACUAGUAUGAACAAGAAGCUUAUUGCCACUAGGGAGGGUAUUAUGCUAACAUAAGUGGAAGAGAUAAUUAACCUCCAUACAUGACAAUGGGAUGAGACACUUAUUCGCAACGUCUUUUCAUCAGUCGAUGUGCAUAGAAUUCUACAAAUUCCUCUUCAUGUGGAGGCCGUUGAAGAUUUUGUAGCUUGGCAACAUACAAGGUCGGGUAGCUUUUCUGUGCGUUAGGCAUACCAUGUUGAAUUUGAGCAUCAGUUCAGACAACACUUGAAUCGAACUAGCCCAAGUAGUGCCUCAUUGAAUGGAUCUUGGAAAGAUCUUUGGAAACUUCGGUUACGUGGGAGGAUCAAACACUUUGGCUGAAAAGUGCUGAAGGGGGUUCUAUCAUGCUAUGGUGUCCUUGCUAAUAGACAUAUUCCUCUGAUCCUGCAAUGUCUGAUCUGUUCCAUAGGAUUAGAAGAUAUAGAAUAUUGCUUGUUCACUUGUACCAGGGUGCAUGCAAUUUGGAUGGAGCUAGGGCUAUCACACGAGAUUGAACGUGUGGUUUGCCAGGACCGAUCGGGCUCUAUUAACCUUGUCAGCGUGAGGUUGAGAUACUUGGCUAGAAAAACUACCAUAAAACCAUAGUUGUAGGUGAGUGGUAUAUCUGGCGGGGGAGAAGAAACAAGGUGCAUGGGGAUGGGAACAAGCAGCUGAAUUUAUUGCCCCGAUUAAUAGUGUGUGCUAAUAGAAAAUAUACACUGCAACGACUUCCCCUAAAGUUUGGUCUCUCGCUCGCAAAGAUAAUAAGAAGGUCAUCACAACCAUGAAGGAGGGUGGCUGGUCCAGGGAUGCGGCUGCUACGAUAUUUGAUGACUGUUGCAUACUCUCUCCGUCCCAAAAUAAGUGUCUUAACUUUGUACUAACUCUAAUACAAAAUUGUAUUAAGCUUGAGACACUUAUUUUAAGACGGGGACAGUAUAAUUUUAUGCAAUUCAUCACUUUGGGGCAGUGCUUUAGAGAAGCUAAUUCAGUAGCUCAUGAAAUGGCUAGGAUUGCUAGAAUCUCUCCGUGUAAAUGAGUGGUUAGAAGAGGCUCCAAGUGAGUUAAUUUCCCUCUUGCUAGCUGAUGUAACCUUGACAAUGAAUAGAGGAGGUGUCCAAUUGUCAAGAAAUAAAAGAGUGUGUCACUGUGGAUGGCAGAACAUCGGGGGGGNNNNNNNNNNNNNNNNNNNNNNNNNNNNNNNNNNNNNNNNNNNNNNNNNNNNNNNNNNNNNNNNNNNNNNNNNNNNNNNNNNNNNNNNNNNNNNNNNNNNGGUGGAGUCGGAGGAGGACGCGGGGCGGAGGAGGGGAAGGAGAUCCAGCAGCAGCAGAGGCGGGAGAAAGAGAAACAGGAGGAGGCACGGGCGCCCAUGAAAUUCGGCCGUGUCGGUCGGUCGCCGCGCGCGUAGAUCGGAGGACCGGACUGGAGACUGGAGUGGGGGUGGAACUCCGCCAAAUGUGGUGAGGAAUCCUAUCCAACACUCGCUCGCUGGGUGCUCAACCCAAGUCUUCUUUUUUCUCUCUCUUUCGAAAGCCGGCGAAUGCAUCUUCCCAUUGCUUUUAUAGGAAAGAAUUACUCCCUUUGUCUCAACUUUAUACCACCUAUAAUACAAAGUUAUACUCCCUCCGUCCCAAAAUAACCGUGUCAACUUUAUACUAGCUUUAGUACAAAAUUGUACUAAGCUUGAGACACUUAUUUUGAGACAAAGGGGGUAUUAAGUUUAAGACACUUAUUUUGAAACGGGGAGAAUAUGAUUUAUUCAUCGUCUGAUCGUAUCAUGGCAAUACAGAAAACACAAGGAAAAAAAAACAAUUGCAUCUAAAUCGGUAAACCAUCUAGCGACGACUACAGGCACUUGAGUGAAUCAAAUAUGUGUCCUCAUCAUCCUCCCUCUCUCAUUGAAGCGAGACAACACUUACCGUAGUAGACAGUACGAAAUCAUCGUGUUACCAACACACCAGAACAUCAACUGUCGUGAAGAGAACAUGGAUUAGAAUGAGGCAACAUAUAGGCACACGAACAAAGGUUGGAUCCAUGAAGAUCAAUCGAACAUCAACACCGUCCGAACUCCAUGAGAUCCAUGAAAGACACGCCUCCACAUGCUAUUUGAAGGCGCUAGAUGCAUCGCUGGAAUGACGCUACACGGAGAGGGCCUUAUUCCAUUAUCAAGGGGUCAUCGCCGCCUCGCGCUACCUUAAUAGGACACAAACCCUAUUUGAUGAAAAAAAAAACCUAAAACAAAAACACUCUUGCAGGCAAGGGUCUAUCGUGGCUCCAUGGCCCUAAGGCUAACAAAGAUGAGGUGAACCGGUGGUGACGGAGGCAGAGAACCCCUAAUUACAUGUGUCAUAUGCAAUUGCCAUGAACUGUAAAAUCUAAAAAUAAUAAUAAUAACAGUUGAAAAUGACUUUUUUUUCAACAAACAUUGCUUAGUGUUUUAUAUAUGUGUAAAUUUUGGAGUUUUUUUUUUUUUUGGAAUUCAUACUUUUCGUGCAUACGUGCUCAGGGAACCAAAAUCCAUUAUCUUUGGAAAUAAAGACCAUGUAACUGGACCAACCCCCCUAUCAUUCUUCUUUUAGGUACCAUUCAUUCCUAGACAGGACCAGUGUUUGAUGACCUAACCGUUUUUUCAAGCAGACCAACUGCCAUUUAAUGUUUGGUUUUAAAUUCUUCUACGAUCUCGCAUACGUUCUGGUUGAACAAGAAAUGUUUGAAAAUAGCAAAAAAAUGAUGUUUUUUCUCUGUAAAAUGUUCGAAUGUUCUAAUUGCAUGCAAAAAAAUCCAUUAAAAAAACAACACUCAUGUUGCUCUAAAUAAAGAAACAAAAUCAGUACUUGCAAAAGGUUCAGGAAACAAAACGUGUUCAAGAUGCUCUGAACUUGCAGAAGGGUACCUGGGGCUCGAAUUUUGUGAUUAGGGCAUGUUUGGUUCGUAUCCCAUUGCUAAAUUCUGUCCCAAAGUGUUCAAGUCUAGCCAUGAACCAAGCAUGCCCAUAGUGUUCCCCCAAAUGCAUGAAUGACAACCACUUUUGGUUCCAAUGUAUGUCAAGCUAAUCAAUCCCCAAAAUGCCACCAAAUGUCCCGUUGUGAGAAUGGCUAAUCCGGCCUGGUCACACUCGUGGCAUUUUCGCAGUAGAUCAAUAAUGUCAAUUCAAUUCAUCAGAAAUCAAAGCAACUAGUCAUGAUCAACAAGCCAAAUAAACAUUAUAAUAAAUACAAGGAAAAAUCUCAAGACAAAUACCCAAGAGAAAGAAUCCCAAGGAUAUGUAUCUGCGGCAAUCCAAUGAGAACAAAGCAUUACCCAGCAUAGAGUGGAUACAACAGUCUUGCUACACGAUAUAUAAUUCGUAACAAAGUAGCAAUUUCGUUUAUGUACAGAUCACACAAGAACACCACACAGUUGGAAACUAUAUCAUAUAUUCAUAUCAGGCGGUUCAUGUGAGUGCUCUAAGCAGGCACGGCAAAGCUUGGCUCGGUCCAGCUGGUUGGGUCGACAACAAUGCACGGAUCGUCCUUCUUGAACUCAGCCACCUGCAGAGUUCAUCAUAUGAAAAAAAAAAGGAUUACACAUAGAAGCAGAAGCUCAAGAAAGCAAGAUGCAUGACAGGGAUAUGAUGCCAAACCAUUUCUCCGCAGCUGGGGCAGUAGUGCUGUUUGUGCCAGAGGCAGUCCAUUGAAGGGCAUAGGAAGCACACGCCCAGAAAGAAUGGCAUCAUGCAAGCCACAACUGAUGCGACGCUCGGCUUUGACCUGUUCAAUGUGCAACGAAAAAGGCUUAGCACGAAUGGUUUCAAUUACAUUUCACCAUCACGGCAAGUACUACAAGGAAUAUUGCGUUCACGUCUCCCUCGCCUAUCUAUUCCCACUUCUGCACGCAAAACUACAGGAGUGCUAAUUAGCAAUCAAAUAUACAAGUAGGAUAGACAAGCACAAACUGAAUGAUAACAAAAAUAUUGUUUAUCCACAAAGAUAAUGAAAGUAGCCCCCCGCUCUUUUCAUGCCUAUAUACUGUAGUUGAGGUAGCAGUGGCUGACAUCAAGCAAUGUGUGGACAGAAAUACAAGAUACUGCCAGAAAAUUGUAUUAAGAUAGAUUUCUCAACACAGGAUAAUGCUCAUUUAAGUUAGCCAGUCAACCAAAAUCCCUAGAGAACGCACUAAUGACAUCCCCAAAAGGUGUUACAGCAUUGAGAUAAAUGACACUAGGAAAUGCGAACAGAAUAAUCAGAUGCUAUCAAGCUACAGGUAAUAUAUUACUUGGAAGGUCUUUGCAUAACAGAGAAAUGCUAGAUUCAGGUUCAGUUUGCUAAUUAAUAAAAAUGUCUUUCCAACAUAUCUGCUACUAGCAUUCUUAAAAAAUACCAAACCCUGAAGAAUACAAGACAACAAAUAAUAUAAAUACAUACAUUAGAUGUCAUGGUAUAUGUCUUGAGGCUAAUGUUAUUUCAGAGAAUCAUUGGUCUCACCAAGCAGGGUUCAACAUCAAUUCAAAGUCAAAGCUGAACUUCGGAUCACCUUUGGAUAAAGCUCAUAUAGUCUCGAGCUAUGAGCUUGGUUUGAAGGGCUAAAUAAUAGUUACAAAAUAAAAUACCACGCAUUAAAUUUUAAACUUCAGUAAUAAUGAUGGUGUGCCCAGCUAGAAUUAGAAAUCAGAACCUACAAGUUAAGAGAUUUUGCUUGCUGCUUGGUUCCAUUUCGGAUGUUCUGUUUGGAAUUGUACAAGAAGUGUGAUCAGGCAUGAACUAUACAGAGUUCAAACUAUAUUUAGCAUAGUCAUUGAUUGUAUUUGCAGCUAUGUCACAAAAAAUGGAAAAAUCAUGAUGGCCGAGUGUGAGAAUGUCAUACGACUCUCCCCCCUCCCACAACCCCUCUCAAAUUGUACAGUGAGGCAACCACAAUGUCAUGUAUCUCUCACAAUAUCAGUAGCUACCAUCUCUUAUCCCGUUACCCACUAAAACUGAAUAUAACUAUAAUGUUUCUAUGUUAGACUAGAGUCAGGUCUUUUGACUUUUAGCAUUCAGGAAUCAUUCAUACAUUCUAGUGAUAAAAGGAGCAAAAGAUGGCAUAGAAGGCUGAUGAUUGCAGGGCACCCUUGCCAAGGGAAUUUUUUAUGGUUGUAAGGAUAUCUUCAGUAGAGGGAAGAUCCAUCUUGAGUGCCCCGGUGGGCCUUUUAAGGUUAGCGGAAUAUCAGUAGGUACUUUAGGAGGAUACCCUAGAAGGUGGACUCGGGUGAACCACCAUGUGCCAUUCCAUUUUAUCCAUAGAAGGAAAAUCACUUCAAUCCUUCACACCAAAGCCAUCAGGCAACUCCCAGAAUACAAACACUAGCUAAAUAGCCGUGCCCUGCUAGGGAAUAAUAAAUACAUGGUGCAUGGAGACGCGUAAAUGUCUUGUUUUCUUUGUCUUCAUUUGCAAAUUUUAUCUGUCUCAUUUGGUAUCUCGGAUUGGUAGGGACGCGAAAAAGGCAACAUUUUAUACCAUAUUGCAACAUCAACCAGGACAUCAAUGUAGAAUAUUGAAAAAGAACUCAGGGGCUCUAAGAUGCUGGGGCAAAGAAGUAGCAGAGCUACCUAAUGUUACCUAGCAUUAGAAAAAACAGAUUAAGGAAGUAAGAUCUUCACACAUAUUGUUCGCCAAAUUAAAAGGGCGAAUCAACCUAAGCUAAAUACCACUCAAAUGGAAGUCAGGAUCAUAACAGUACAAAGAAUGCUACCAGAAUGAAACUCCACUUUAAUAGUUAAGAUAUCCUCUAACUCAGCAUCACAAUAAGCGUCAAUCCUGAUGAGUCUCCCACUAAUAAACUUUGAAGUCAGGAUCAUAACAGUACAAAGAAUCCUGAUGAGUCAAUUCCUCUUUCCAACCGAGGCAGCCCCAUACGUCAAGAUAAACAAGGACUCUGCUUAUAAACACAACAGCAUGAAAAGCACCUCAAGGAUCAAGAUCCCCCAUUGGCAAUCCAGAUAUCACAGAAACUAUCUCUAUGUCGCACAAGACUUCGAGAUAACCAUCAUCUCUAUCUUCCACGCUAAUUUAUCACUAGACCAUCACUAAUCUAUACUGUUUCACUCGAAUCAAGCUAGACAUCCGAACGCGCCAAGGAAGAGGGACAGCUAAAACAAAAUUCGGUCAGCAUUGAAGGGUUCGAUCAAUCCACAAAUCACUAUAAUCUCAUCCUCGAAGCGCACCUAAACCUCAUAGAGAUGGCAUACUACUGCAAUUAAACGGCGCAAUAUACCACGGGGGGACGGGGAAAAAAAGAGGGGUGGAAGGGGAAGGAGGGGGGGAUUAGGGGUUGGUUGGUUCCUGACCGGACGGAGGUGACGGCGGCGUCGCCGCAGGACUGGCAGUGGAAGGGGGCGGGCGUGUCGCGGAACAUGGUGUGCUGCAGGGGCACCCCCUUGGGCGCGCCGGCGUAGAUCGCGUUCGGCGGCACCCUCCCCGCCGCGUAGGGGUCCGGCGGGUAGUAGUAGCUGCCCUGGGCCUGCGCCGGGUUGUAAGGGAUGCCGAGGGCCGGCUCCUCGCCUGAGGCCUUGGCCGUCGCCAUGGUCGUCGCCGGCNNNNNNNNNNNNNNNNNNNNNNNNNNNNNNNNNNNNNNNNNNNNNNNNNNNNNNNNNNNNNNNNNNNNNNNNNNNNNNNNNNNNNNNNNNNNNNNNNNNNUUUCCUUAUAUUUUCAUGUGUGAUCAUUUGUAGUAUAAGUUAUUAUACUUGCUACUAUUGUCACUACUGCUAUUCCUUGCCACUGUUGUUACUCGUUACACUGUUGCUGCCUGCUACAAUACUUUUUCUCGCACUGUUGCCGGGAAAGAAUAUUUCCCGUCCACGGCAAGUUCUAGCGCCAUUGAUACGACAGUUAGGAAUAGUCUGCCUUGUCACCAGAUCGUUUCUGGCACCGUUGCUAUCAUACUACUUUGCUGCUGAUACUUUGCUUGCAGACACUAAUCUUUCAGGUGUGGUUGAAUCUGACACAUUCAGCUGCUAAUACUUGAGAAUAUUCUUUCACUUCCCGUCGCGUGAACCAACAAAUUUGGGUUGAAUACUCUACCCUCGAAAACUGUCGCAAUCCCACGCGUUGGUGGGCUAUUGCAAGACAAUUUCUAAUUGUUGAGCAAUUGGGACGAGCUCUUUUCUGGCUCCGUUGCCGUGGAGGCAUCAAGUCAGCAAUAGUUGCACGUCAGCAGCAUUUUUCUGGCGCCGUUGACGGGGAUCUGCUAACAACAUUUUUGUGGCACCAUUGCCGGGGAAGGGAUUGCUAUAUUGUCUGAGUCACUUGGGAUUUAUAUCUGCUGAUCACUAUGAAGAAUCUGAAAGAUCCAAAAACCAAAGUCUUGCCCUCAACUAUGAGGGGAGGUAAGGAACUGCCAUCUAGCUGUGCAUUUGAUUCACCUUCAGUUAUGAGUAAGUUUGCGACACCACCUCCUGCUAGAAAUCUUGAUAUGUUGCUUGUGCUUGAUGAUGCUUAUGAUGCUACUAUGCCUGCUAUUGCUAGAGAUACUAUGCCUGAUACUGCUAGAGAUACUAUGCCUGAUACUGCUAGAGAUGUUAUGCUUGAUACUGCUAUGGAUACUACUUUGCCUGAUAUGCCACUAGGGGUAUUCCUUGAUGCUCAUAUUGCUAGAGUUACUGCCAAUGCUCAUGAUGCUUCCGAAACUGCCGAUACUAUUGAGAUAGAACCUGCUUUUGCUCCUGCUAGAUCUAGCUCUCCUAGAUAUGAAUUGCCUGAUAUACCUGAGGGUUACGUUAUGGAGGGAGAGAUAGCUGAGGAUUUUCUUGCAUGUAAGGAUGCCUAUAACGCUGAGAAAUUACUUCUCAAGUGGAAGGAAAAAUCUCUGAAAGCCAGAAUAAAAUACGGCCCGAAGUUUGCCACUUCACCUAUCUUUAUCACCGAUAAGGAUUAUGANNNNNNNNNNCAGGGUUACGUUAUGGAGGGAGAAAUAGAUGAGGAUUUUCUUGCGUGUAAGGAUGCCUAUGACGCUGAGAAAUUACUUCUCAAGUGGAAGGAAAAAUCUCUGAAAGCUAGGAUGAAAUACGACCCGAAGUUUGCCACUUCACCUAUCUUUAUCACCGAUAAGGAUUAUGAAUUCUCUGUCGACCCUGAGAUAAUCUCUCUAGUCGAAUCUAAUCCUUUCCACGGUUAUGAGUCUGAGACGGUCGUGGCCCAUCUUACCAAACUACACGAUAUAGCCACCCUUUUCACUAGUGAGGAGAAGAUUCGCUACUACUAUAUCCUUAAGAUGUUUCCUUUCUCUCUAAAGGAUGACGCUAAAGCCUGGUUCACUUCUCUUGCUCCUGGAUGUGUGAGUAGUCCCCAGGAUAUGGUCUAUUACUUCUGUGAGAAAUAUUUCCCUGCCCACAAGAAUAAGCCGCCUUGCAGGAAAUAUACAACUUUGCUCAACUCAAAGAAGAGAGUCUCNNNNNNNNNNACCCGGGAUAUGGUAUAUUACUUCUGUGAGAAAUAUUUCCCUGCCCAUAAGAAGCAAGCUGCCUUGCAGGAAAUAUACAACUUUGCUCAACUCAAAGAAGAGAGUCUUCCACAAGCUUGGGGGAGGCUCAUCCAGCUACAGGAUGCUUUGCCUGAUCACCCUCUUAAGAAGAACGAGAUACUUGAUAUCUUCUAUAACGGACUUACCGAUGCUUCUAGAGACCACCUAGAUAGUUGUGUCGGUUAUGUUUUUAGGAAAAGAACUGUAGAACAAGCUGAGAUCCUACUGAAUAACAUCUUGAUCAACGAUAAUGCUUGGACUAUUCCUGAACCACCUCCUAAGCCAACUCCUAACAAAAGAGGUAUUCUACUCCUCAGUCCUGAAGAUAUGCAAGAAGCCAAGAAAUCUAUGCAAGAGAAAGGCAUUAGAUCUGAAGAUGUCAAAAAUCUACCACCUAUCGAAGAGAUCCAUGGUCUUGAUAACCCGAUACAAGUAGUAGAAGUGAAUUCUCUGCGUAGGCUUGAUGAGAGUGAUAUUCCUUUUGACAAACCUGCUAGCCUAUGCUUUGAUGAAUUUGACAACUUUUUUGCCAAACAACAGAGUUUCAAUGAUUAUGUUAGCAGACAUUUGGAACAAAGUACUCGUANNNNNNNNNNAUACCAACUAUCGAAGAGAUUCAUGGUCUCGAUAACCCAAUACAAGUAGUAGAAGUAAAUUCUCUGCAUAGGUUUGAUGAGAGUGGUAUUCCUUUUGAUAAACCUGCUAGCCUAUGCUUUGAUGAAUUUGACAACUUUGUUGCCAAACAAUAGAGUUUCAAUGAUUAUGUUAGCAGACAUUUGGAACAAAGUACUCGUAUGUUUAGUCAUUUAAGGGCUUGUGUAGACAGAAAUGUCAAUGAUCUGAAGCUUCUGAGUAAACAUGCCUCUAUGAUUACUACUCAGGUAGAACAAGUACUUAGAGCUCAGAAUGACUUGCUCAAUGAAUUAAAUGACAACUCUGUCAGAGUCAUUACUAGAGGAGGCAAAAUGACUCAGGAACCUUUGUAUCUUGAAGGCCAUCCUAAGAGAAUUGAUCAAGAUUCUCAAGGAAUUAAUGCUGAUACACCCAGUCAUCCUAAGAAGAAGGAUGAUAGAAACCUACAUGUCAGUACCAAAUACUGUCACACAUGAAGAACCAAAUGAUAUUUCUGCGUCUGAUGCAGAAACAAAAUCUGGUGAUGAACAUGAAUCUCGUGACAAUAUGGAUAGUGAUGUUCAUAAUAAUUCUCAACCUAGCAAUGAUGAGGGUGUGGAGAUUGAAUCUACGGUUAAUCCUGAUAACCCACAACCUAAGAGAUACGAUAAGAAUGACUUCACUGCUAGGAAGCAUGGUAAAGAAAGGGAGCCAUGGGUUCAGAGACCUAUGCCCUUUCCUCCUAAGACAUCCAAGAAAAAGGAUGAUGAGGAUUUUGAGCGCUUCGUUGAGAUGAUAAGACCUGUCUUUCUGCAGAUGCGGUUAAUUGAUAUGCUCAAAAUGUCUCCAUAUGCCUAGUACAUGAAAGAGAUCGUGACUAAUAAACGGAAGAUACCAGAUCUUGAGAUCUCCACCAUGCUUGCCAAUUACACUUUCAAAGGUGGAACUCCUAAAAAACUUGGUGAUCCCGCAGUGCCCACUAUACCUUGCUCCAUUAAAGGAAACUACGUAAGAACUGCAUUAUGUGACCUUGGAGCCCGUGUUAGUGUCAUGCCGCUCUCUCUUUAUCGUAGACUUGAAUUGGAUAAGUUGACACCCACUGAAAUUUCUCUGCAAAUGGUCGACAAAUCAACUGCUUUCCCUAUCGGCAUUUGCGAGGAUGUGCCUGUUGUAGUUGCUAACACCACUAUCUUAACAGACUUUGUUAUCUUGGAUAUUCCCGAGGACGAUGCCAUGGCUGUCAUCCUUGGAAGACCCUUUNNNNNNNNNNCUUGGUGAUCCCAGAGUGCCCACUAUACCUUGCUCCAUUAAAGGAAACUACGUAAGAACUGCCUUAUGUGACCUUGGAGCCCGUGUUAGUGUUAUGCCGCUCUCUCUUUAUCGUAGACUUGAACUGGAUAAGUUGACACCCACUAAAAUUUCUCUGCAAAUGGCCAACAAAUUAACUGCUUUCCCUAUCGGCAUUUGCUAGGAUGUGCCUGUUGUCGUUGCUAACACCACUAUCUUAACAGACUUUGUUAUCUUAGAUAUUCCCGAGGACGAUGCCAUGGCUGUCAUCCUCGGAAGACCCUUUUUAAACACUGCAGGGGCUGUUAUAGAUUGCAACAAAGGCAAUGUCACUUUCCAUGUCAACGGUAAUGAGCAUACAGUGCACUUUCCAAAGAAACGAUAUCAAGUACAUUGCAUCAAUGCUAUCGAAAAAACUUCAUCGAUUCUUAUUGGGUGCUUUGAAUUCCCUAUUCCUCGUGUCAAGAUGAAGUAUGAUUUGCUUGUUGUGGAGAUACAUAUCCCCAUUGAGGUGACUUAGUGGCUAUUCGAAAAUUCNNNNNNNNNNGGCAUACAGUGCACUUUCCGAAGAAACGAUAUCAAGUACAUUGCAUCAAUGCUAUCAAAAAACUUCAUCGAUUCUUAUUGGGAGCUUUGAAUGCCCUAUUCCUUAUGUUAAGAUGAAGUAUGAUUUGCUUGUUGGGGAGAUACAUAUCCCCAUUGAGGUGACUUAGUGGCUAUUCGAAAAUUCUCCGUUCUCUUUUGCGAUUCGAGAAGGUUUUGUCAUGAGGAUUUGAUGAACCCCAUUGACGGAUUUCUUUCAAUGACCAUGAAAUGGAUGAAUCAAGGAGUCACACACCUCUGUUUUAAGCUUUCACUUUCUGUUGCUUAGAAGAAAAAUUAUAGAUUUAGUUUAGUUGUUCCUGCUUUCUGUUUUAGCGCCCCGGAGAAAAAUACCCCGAAAAUAAAAGUUCUCCAAUGGUCCUGAAAAUCUAGUAUGAUUUUUUUUGGAAUAUGUGAAAAAUACUGGAACUGAGACCUGGCCUCGGGGCCACACCAGUGGGCCACAAGCCCUGUAGUCGCCGCCCCCCUGGUGGCGGCUACCAAGCUUGUGGGGCCCACAGGGACCCCCUCCACUCAUUCCAGCUCCCAUCCUCUUCCUCUACCUCCAGAAGAAAUCGUUUCGCAGCUCAAACCCGUGUUCUUGCUCAUUUGGCUGAGAUUUUCGAUCUCCUUGCUCAAAGCACCAUUCUCCAAACCGUUUUGGGGAAAUUACUCCUUGGUAAGUGACUCCUCCAUUGGUCCAAUUAGUUUUUGCUCUAGUGCUUUAUCCUUCGCGUAUUCUUGCUACCUUGGUGACCUUGUUCUUGAGCUUGAAAUGUUGAUUUUAGCUAGUCCCAAGUAGUUUUAGCGCGUGAUAUGGUUUCUAGGCACUAGUAGGAGUAAUUGCCAGAAGGUGUGGUUGGUCUUUAUUCACUUUUCUCUUGAACUUCAAAAAUUUCAGCAAAAGGAAAUUAUGUUCAGGAGGAAGUUUCAUGGUGGUUCCUCAAGUAAGAAGGGUCCCCGUCUUUCUAUUCGGGAGCCCGAUCCUUUUCAACUAAGGGACGCACCAGUAUAACCAUGUGAAUGGCCUUCCGAUGAGUUCAUGAUCAAAGAAGGCUUCAAGGAUGAGUUUGAUACACUUGUCCGCAAUGCCGGGUUAGAAGAAUUCCUCUCAGAUAAAUGUGAACAGUAUGCUAUGCUCACUACCUCUUUCGUGCGUAGAUUUAAAUUUUUAGUUGGCCGUGACUCAUCCAUACUGUUUGAUCUGUAUGAUAAAUCCUACACCAUGGAUUUGGAGGAUUUCAAUAGGAUUUGCAAGAUACCCGAUGGGGGUAGUCUUAAUGAUCCUGCUAAGUCUUCGGUUAGAGAUUUUGUCUCUAGUAUAACUGUUGGAGAAACUAGAGACAUCACGCAAGCUACCAUAGGAAGCAUUCAUUUCCCUGCCUUGCACUACUUUGCCCUCUUCAUAGGUAGAUGCAUUAAUGGCAAGGUUUCACAUUGUCACCUAUGCGCAUCCGACCUUAGUAUCCUUAAGAGCGCAGUAAUAGGUGACAGGAGCUUCAACAUGGGAGCUAUAAUAGCAAGGAGGCUGAAUAAUAAUGCCAUUGAUGGGGAUUUCUUUGGUGGAAUUUAUGCUACGCGCUUAGCAAAUUUUCUUGGAGUACCCAUCCGUUCAGGAGACCCCCCUCUCCGUACAGCCUACCUUGAUCGUGUCACUCUAACACGCUGCCAGUUCCUUGAGAGGGAUGAUGAAUCCCUCCUAUACCGUUUGAUAUUUAACCGGCAGCGUGUUUUCCAUAUUACCCUUCCUGCUCCUGCUCUCUUUGACUUCUAGGUAAAACGGAGAUAUUACAUAACCAGAGGAGAGGCAGAGGAGUAUGAGAGGGAGGCAAAGGUUGUUCGUCUCCAUGAGGCAGCUGUUCAGGCAGUGGCUGCAGCACUCCCGUAUAACACCCAUUAUGAUUUUGGGUUUCGCCAGGACCAUCCUUGGGGGAGCACGUGUUCUCACCGACCUUACAUUCAUGCUUAUGCUUUCACUUUGUUAGUCGGUGUUUACACUUUGCCACUGUAUUAUCCAUGCUGGUUUAUUUUUGUUUUCUUGUUUUCUUGUUUUGUGUCCUUUUGAGAAAACCCAAAAAGAUUUUCCUUUCUUCUUUUGCUUGUUGGGAGUUUUCCCGUGUAAAUAGUUUUCUUUUUCUUUGGGUCAAGGUAGAAGAUAUUGGUUACAAUGUUUAGUGGCUCUUGCAUGCAUACCUGUUUAGCUUUCAAAAAGCCAUAUUACUUUGUCUUCUCCUUUGUGUUUGCCUGCAGAUUCAGCUUAGUCCAAUGCAUGAGCACUCUUAUUAUUGUUCACAUCGUUCGAUCGUGCAAGCGAAAGGCAAUAAUGAUGAUAUAUGAUGAAGUGACUGAGACUGGAAAAGCUGGUAUGAACUCUAUCUAUUUUUUUGUAAUUAUGACUAGCUUGUCGUUCCAGAUUCAGCUUUGUUGUGAGAGAACCAUGUUUGCAAUGACAACUUAGAGAUCAUAGUUUCUGAUGCCAUGCUUAAUUAGCUGAGAGCUUAAAAUGGUUUGUCUUGAAUGCCAACAUAGAUUUUGAGAUGACUAUGAUGUNNNNNNNNNNNNNNNNNNNNNNNNNNNNNNNNNNNNNNNNNNNNNNNNNNNNNNNNNNNNNNNNNNNNNNNNNNNNNNNNNNNNNNNNNNNNNNNNNNNNUUUGGCGCAUGUUCAUGCAUGUAGUUGAAACAAAAUCAACAUAGCCUCUAUGAUGUUCGUAUUCGUGGUGAUUUAUAUCCUGCUCAUGCUUGCACUCAAUGUUAGUCAAACUCAUUGCAUCUUGAUGACUGUUGUCGCUCUCUAGUUGGUCACUUCCCAGUCUUUUGCUAGCCUUCACUUGUACUAAGCGGAAUACUGCUUGUGCAUCCACUUCCAUAAACCCAAAAGUUUUUCCAUGAGAGUCCACCAUACCUACCUAUUUGCGGUAUCUACGUGUCAUUCCAAGUAAAUUUGCAUGUGUCAUUCUCUAAACCUUCAAGAAAUAAUCUAUUUUGCAUGCCCGAACCGCUCAUGUGGUGACAGGGGGCUAUUGGUAUCUUCCAUGUUAGGCGUGUUAUCAUCAACAUGUGUUUAUUCACUGUCAUUCACGAGAAAGGGGCCGGUAAUUGGAAUGCCCAGUUCCACGCUUAAAUCGAAAACAUAACUGUAAAACAAGACUCCCCCCGGAUUGCUGUUAGUAUGGAUGGUACUCGAGGAUUCGGCUAGCCGUGGAGUGUGAUUGAUUGGUGGUGGGGGAGUUAAAACUUUACUUUUCUGUUUGGGGACCGCCUGUAGCAUGAGUAGCAGGGAAGAUAUUGAGAACUCUUGGUCAUUGCGUUGACAAUGAAAGCAUGCCACCCAAAAUUAUUAUCUCUGUUUUCAAAGCUUGAGCUCUGGCACCUCUGCAAAUCAAUGCUUCCCUCUGCGAAGGGUUUGUCUAUUUAUUUUCCUGUUGAGUCAUCCUCUUCUUAUAUAAGCACCAAUUAGAGAGCACCUCUGUCAUUUUUAUGCUUUGCUUUUGAUUGAUAUUGAGUAUGACUAUGACUGGAUCUUCGUUGCUAUGAAUUACAAUGUUUAGUCAGCCCUUGAUCUUUGAGAGUGCUCUGCAUUUAUGUUUUGCGGUCUCAAAAAGAGCUAGCGAGAUACCACCUAUUCAUAUUGCUUCAUGCUUGUUUUGAUUGAAUUGUUGGUAUCUGAAACUCAUUAUUAUUUGCUCGCUAGCUGAUUAUGCCAUUGAUAUUAGUUUACCAUGAUACCUUUGUGUCACUUGCUUAUGUGGUUAACUUGUGAUCUUGCUGAAAUUUUGGUUAUGAGUUAGACAUAGUUGCAACAACAAGAUCAAACAGAGUUUGUCAAAGUUUUUCUUUCUCUUUCAGUUUGUCAACUAAGUUGCUUGAGGACAAGCAAGGUUUUAAGCUUGGGGGAUUUGAUACAUCUCCAUCGUAUCUACUUUUACAAACACUUUUGCCCUUGUUUUGGACUAUAAUUUGCAUGAUUUCACUGGAACUAACCCGGACUGACGUUGUUUUCAGCAGAAUUGCCAUGGUGUUGUUUUUGUGCAGAAAUGAAAGUUCUCGGAACGUCCUGAAAAUUUAUAGAGAAUAUUUCUGGAAAAUAUGAAAAAUACCUGCGCAAAGAUCCACCAGAGGGGACGGGCCAGUGGGCCACAAGCACUGUAGCCACCCCCCUGGUGGCGGCUACCAAGCUUGUGGGGCCCACGUGGCUCUGCCGCCCCCAAUUCCAGCGCUAUUUAUUCCCUUUCGUCCCAGAAAAAAUNNNNNNNNNNNNNNNNNNNNNNNNNNNNNNNNNNNNNNNNNNNNNNNNNNNNNNNNNNNNNNNNNNNNNNNNNNNNNNNNNNNNNNNNNNNNNNNNNNNNCCGCGCGCUCGCCGCCGCCGCCGAGGGCUUCGGCCGCCGCGCCAUCGGGGGCCUCCACGGCGCCCUCUACCACGUCACCUCCCUCCAAGGUCCUUCCCCCCUCCUCCUCCCAUCACGCACCCUGGAAUCCCACCAGCAAAUUGGGGAUCAACCCAUGAACUGACCGUUCGGUUCGGCGCGCAGACGACGGGCAGGGGACGCUGCGGGAGGCGUGCCGGGCCAAGGAGCCGCUGUGGAUCGUCUUCGAGGUGUCCGGCGACAUCCACCUCCGCACCUACCUCCGCGUCUCCUCCCACAAGACCAUCGACGGGCGCGGCCAGCGGGUCAGGCUCACCGGCAAGGGCCUCCAGCUCAAGGACUGCCACCACGUCAUCGUCUGCAACCUCCGGUUCGAGGCCGGCCGCGGGCACGACGUCGACGGCGUCCAGAUCAAGCCCGGCUCCACCAACAUCUGGAUCGACCGCUGCUCCCUCGCCGACUACGACGACGGCCUCAUCGACAUCACCCGCCAGAGCACCGACAUCACCGUCUCCAGGUCCUUCCCGCUUUUCCACUGUCCCUCCUGACACCAACUACAGUAUAUUUCUGUGUACAGCAUCACGCAAUCUUCACCUUAUUUCGUUUGAUGAUUGUGCUGAUGAACAUGUGACUGCAUUCGUGCUGCACAGAUGCCACUUUGCAAGGCAUGACAAGACGAUGCUCAUCGGCGCAGACCCCACGCACGUCGACGACAGGUGCAUCAGGGUCACCAUCCACCACUGCUUCUUCGACGGCACGCGGCAGAGGCACCCGCGCCUGCGCUUCGGCAAGGUCCACCUCUACAACAACUACACCAGGGACUGGGGCGUAUACGCCGUCUGCGCCGGCGUAGAAGCUCAGGUAGCUCAUUCGGAUGCGCCAUUCCAUAUGCUUGCAGCCGACAGCGCUUGGAAACCAUCGAUCUCUAAUGAAUCAGUUCCUUCGUUUCCAGAUUGUGUCCCAGUGUAACAUAUACGAAGGAGGACAUAAGAAGACGGUCUUCAAGUACAUGCCGGAGAAGGUACUCUGCAUCUUCAGACAAGAUGAGAUGAGGCUGAGCAUUUUGCAUACAUCUGAUUGCAUUGCUACUGAUAUCUACUAUCUCAGUGCAUUGCUGAUUGAUGCUGCAGGCUGCUGACAGAGAAGAGACGGUGGCCGGGUGGAUCAGGUCGGAGGGCGACGCGUUCCUGCACGGGGCGCUGCCGUGCCUGGUCGACGGCCCGGGCGCCGAGUGCGUCUUCAGGCCGGAGGAGUACUACGACAAGUGGACGAUGGAGGCGGCGUCGCCGGCGCUCAAGGAGGUCAUUCAGCUCUGCGCCGGGUGGCAGCCUGUGCCCAGGCCCCCGGACUGCUAGCGCUGUAAGCCUGUAAAUCAUGGAAAUUCAGGUUCAGGCCCAAGGACUGCAAACCUGAACGACUGAUCCAUUCGCGUAACUGUAUCAAAUUCUGCUCGUUUAUCCUCUGCUAGUGCUAGCACUGUAAUAAACUGUUAAGCUUGUAUCGGUUUUACAUUGGAUAUAGGAAGCAAGUGGUCAUUGCUGAUGUGAAUUGUUAUUCCGCAGAAGAGAGAAUUCACAGUGGUCAGACGAAGCAAGUGGUUAUUUGAUUUCCAAUGCAAAUUAAUGACAAAAAAGGUAAAAUUUGCUCAUGGAAAAGAUAAACUGUAGAAGAGAGUUUACAGUCCACCGUGAAAAAAAAGAGAGUUUGCAGUAAAGGAAGCAAUUGGUGAUCUUUAACGCAAAUUAACAUAAAAAGGAAACUGCAGUCGAUAAGAGGAAGCAUAUGGUGAUAUAUGAUGCAAAUAGUAUCAAAAUAGCAGAAGGAACAUAAAAAAAUUACAAUAGCGGAAGAAAUGGCUGACUUUCAAAAACUCCGUAUCUAUACUACUAAUAAAAGAUCAAACGAAAACUUCUCUAGAUACACACAACUAUUACCCCCACAAAAACAAACACCAAUCACCACCACACAAAUAGACAACAAAUUACAAUCUAACGGCCUUCCACCAUCCACGCAGCACCACCGUGUGCAUUUACCAAAUAAAAUAAGGCUGACCGUGCUCCACCUCCUCGCUCAACCCGCUCGCCUCGCGCCCCCGUCGCCCCCCUCAGGCCGUAAACACCCCUCCCCACCCACGAUCGUAGCCUCUUCCUUCCCNNNNNNNNNNNNNNNNNNNNNNNNNNNNNNNNNNNNNNNNNNNNNNNNNNNNNNNNNNNNNNNNNNNNNNNNNNNNNNNNNNNNNNNNNNNNNNNNNNNNCGUCGCCGGCCAGGACCUCCCGUGGUCGCCCGCCUCGCGCCAGAUCCGGCGAGCAGCAACCCGGAUCCGGCCGCCGCGCCCUCGCUGGACCGCCGUAGGCCUCACCGGCCUGCCCUGCGGGACCUCUCCCCGUGCGCCUGCAAACCCCGCCAACGCCGCCAUGUCCUCUGGCCUCGCUCCCACGAGGCGACGGGAGGGAGACGAGGCAGUCCCUCCUCCAGACCGUUGACCGCGCCUGGGCCCCGCGGCCCAAGUCCCCAGUCUGCCCCACCAACCUCCAUCGGCCCACUGCCUCCUCCGGCCCAAAGGUGAGCCCCUGCCCUAUCCCACACCCAUGGCGUAGCUUAGUUUUGCUGCGCCCCCUGUUCGGCCCAAUAGUUUAUUAGGUAUUUUCGGAAUUGUAAUUAAAUUCCAAGAAAAUAUGACGAUUUAAAAUGUCUGUAACUUUUUAUCCGUGUGUCGGAUCGAGACGUGCAAUAUAUGGUUUUCGUGUAGUUUCUCGUGUAGUAUCCGUUUUUAUAACUUGCAUAAUUGUUUGACGUCGAUUAGCUGCCGGAUGCCUAGAAUAGCGUGCUGUUUUAAUAGGAUACGUCCCGUAUUUAAUUUUCGCGCAAGUCCGGAUUGCUCGUGUGCCGUAUUAGAAAUGCCUAUGUUUUAGGAACUAUUUUUCCAUGUAUUUUAGAGUAGUCAUUCAUAUUUUUGCGUGUAGGGUUUGCCGGUAGUUUAUUUUCCCGUAUCUAGGUGUUUAUCUCGCAUUAAUGUGCGACAUUAUUAUUGUUGUGCAACCCCACAUGUUUUAUAUGUUUUCGGGGUAGAAAAAUCCCAUGGAUUUUCUGUGCAAUUAGUUUUAGCUUUCGAGUAAGUUAGUUCGCGAGAUNNNNNNNNNNNNNNNNNNNNNNNNNNNNNNNNNNNNNNNNNNNNNNNNNNNNNNNNNNNNNNNNNNNNNNNNNNNNNNNNNNNNNNNNNNNNNNNNNNNNUGCUGCGGGGAGAGGAGGGAGACCAGGUGGCGGCGGCUGGGUUGGUGGGCGCGGAAAACAAGGGAAACUCUAGGGUUUGCCUAAAAUGGCAGGGAGGGCUUCUUAAAUAGGGAAAGGGGCUAGGGUGCAGGGUAUUUGGGGGUUUUUCGACCCUCCGGUCGCGAUCGUGCGGUCUGAUUGGAGAGGCGGGUUAGGGUUAGGUGUGUAGAGUGGCGUUGGCUAAGAUGAGAGGGGAGUGGUGCGGCGCGACAGCGACUUUUAAAACACCGACAGACGUCCGACGGCAGACCGAAGACGGUGCCGCUACGGUCGACCGUUCGGGUACCAGACGGUCUCCGAUUGCGACGAAACUUGACAGGCGGCCUACCUAUAUAAAGAAAAUACCGCACGACAAAUUCGAGCUCAAUCGGAGAAAGUUUUAUACACGAUUUAAAAACAGGGUUACAACGGUGCCGCGGGCGCGUGCGAGUGCAGUCGGGCUCAGAACAAACAACUACGAGAACCGACAACUAACAGCGGAUGCAAGUUUUGAAAACGGGCGGCAACGGAGAUGCCGAUGCAAUGCAGAUGAUGCGAAUGAUGCGAUGAUGACACGACAAAUAAAAUAAGCCACACGACGAAAACGGAAAGAGAGGGGAAUUUUCUGGAACGUCGGCAUCGGGUUGUCACACUUUGGCCCAUAGCAAGGUGGUGCAUGUUCGAAUCCUAACACUUUCCCGCAAAAAAAAAUCCUAACACUUGCAAACAUAUUUUCCUAUAGUCAUAAUUUCCCUUGUACAUGGACCGGUUUUAUCACUCAGUUUUUCGAAAAAAAGGGCGGUUCGAUAAACGGUUCGGCUGCAGAACAAUCCGCAUAGCUUAAAAGGACGUCGAGCCUGCUGGUUUCGGUUUUUUCCACUCCGAUUGAUGGCCCGGUCCGGUUUUUUAAGCUAUGGGCCAGACUCGUAUUAGAGGCAAACUCUUCCUCGCUGUCGGCAGCGAGGUUGUUCGUCGACGACAAGGCGGCUGGUUCAUGGGUGGAUCACGGAGCAGCCAUGGACGGGCUUGGUUGGGAAAUACUACCUUCGUUUCGGUUUAUAAGACUUAUGCGUAUCUCUAGGUCUAUAAUUUAACCAACAUAAGAUGAGUUGUAUAGUUUAAAAAUUAUAUCAUUAGAAAGAAGACGAUGUGAAGUUUCUAAUGAUAUGUUUUUUGUGAUAUAUAAUUUGUAUUAAGUUGAAUCAUUUAUUAACUUAGGGAUACACACAAGCCUUAUAAACUGGAAAAGAGUAGUAGGAACAUAGAUGAAACAGUUGAGCAGGUGCGCCCAACAUGCGUGAUAUUGCCAAAAUGGACUUGUGCAUGCAUGUGAAAUUGAAUUGGCCAAANNNNNNNNNNAUCUCACUUUGGUUGGGGUGGGAGGGGGGCACGGUCCCCUCAGACUUACAUGUAGCUCUGUCGUUGCAUGUCAGGGUUACACCCUUGUCAUAGACACGUCGUUGGUGAGACUGAAGAGGACCGCGCCGAGAAAAAGUUAUGUGGAGAGAGUGACUACUUUCAAUGGGUUGAGGAGGACAGCUAUCGUAAGGCUGAAUCAACCAACAUAAGAAGAGUUGUAUAGUUUAAAGUUAUAUCAUUAGAAAGAAGACGAUGUGAAGUUUCUAAUGAUAUGUUUUUGUGAUAUAUAAUUUGUAUUAAGUUGGUUCAUUUAUUAACUUAGGGACACACGCAAGCCUUAUAAACCGAAAAGGAGUAGCAACUAUUGCCAAAAUGGACUUGUGCAUGCAUGUGAAAUUGAAUUGGCCAAAAGUGAUAGAUAAUCUCACUUUGGUUGGGGUGGUAGGGGGGCACUGUCCCCUCAGACUUACAUGUAGCUCCGAUGUUGCAUGUCUACACCCUUGUCAUAGACAUGUCGUUGGUGAGACUGAAGAGGAUCGCGCCGAGAAAGAGUUAUGUGGAGAGGGCGGCUAAUUCCAAUGGGUCGAGGAGGACAGUUGUCGUAAGGCUAAAUCAAUUGUUGGCUGCACGCGCCUCCCCGCCGUCCUCGACUAGUUCGACCCAUGUUGAUGACCGCCUCGACAGAAGUGGACGUCAUGCUUUGCCUUAAAAAUGUGGCAUUAUCCCGCACCGUUGAAUCAACCAGAAAUUAGUAACUUAUUUUCAUCAAUUUGAAUACUUUGAAUCAAUAUUUGGAUCAUAGUACUUACCACUCCAUUUUUUUAUGAAACGGGCACGAUGAUCCUUGUUGAACGUAGGGUCAAGCAUGGAGUACCUAAUGUCGAUGUUGUCCGCAAGAGAUGGCCGCCUAAAUAAAAUUGCAUAAGCAUAAAUAAAUAAAAUGCAACAUGAUUCAUUCAUUCAUAUAACAUCCACUAUACGCGUAUAUGUUUUUUUCAAUAUGCAUCAUAUCAUCAUUUUUUCAAAAAAAUAUAAACUAGGGUUCAUUUGAAGCAUAAUUUCUUCAACAACAUCCACUAUACAACAUGCAUCAUAUCAAAACAAACAUAGCAGUUUAUUCCUCCAACAUGCAUCAUAUCAUAAAUUUUUCAAAAAAUAAACAUGAACUAGAGUUCAUAUUCACACUACCGUUGCAACUAGUGGCUGGAGUUCACAUUCAACCCCAUAGAAUAUCUAGAAUCAACCUAAAACAAACCUAGGAUAAAAAAUUAUAGAACUAAAAAUAGGGUUGAUUUGAAGCAAAUAAUGCGUCGAAUCGGAAGCUAUUUGACUAAAACUAAUUGGAGGGAUAAGAGGAGCUUACUUUUCUCGUUUUGGGGCCAUCUCGAUCCGCAAAAACGAUGAAGAAACGAAGAAUAUCCGAGGAGGAAGCGAAGGAGAUGAGAGGGGGCGAGAGGAAGAACUCCUUUGUUUCAACAACGCUCGGAGGAAGAGAUGGGGUGGGGUGGGGCGGGCGGGCCCACGGCUGAUAACUGUCUAGAGCCUACUGCCAGAGACCCCGGCGGUAGGUUAAGACAUCCUACCCCCGGGACCAACGGCAAUAAGGUGGCACGGAAGGGGACGACAACUAUCUAGACAUAUUUUAGAGUGUAGGUUCACUCAUUUUGCUCCGUACUUAGUUCGUAGUGCAAUCUUUAGAAAGAUACUCCCUCUGUUCCUAAAUAUAAGUCUUUGAAAAGAUUUCAUUAGGAGACUAUAUACGAAGCAAAAUGAGUGAAUUUAUACUUUAAUGUAUGUCUAUAUACAUCCGUAUGUAGUUUUUUAAUGAAAACUCUAAAAAAGACUUAUAUUUAGAAACAGAGGGAGUAGACGCUCAACUUUCUACUAAUUUUGUACAAUUAGUAAAAAAUCGAAUCAUUUAUUUUAAAACGGAGGGAGUAUUUAGAAUCGAAUUCGCUACUUUCUUGGGAUUGAAGUCUCUUCUACCUCUGAUGGCUUCUUUAUAUCCCAGGAAAAGUACAUGCAGGAUCAGACAUAAGAAACUGCUCACUAAGACGGGCCUUGACAAAGGCAAUAUACUCGGGGUCAUCCCCAGUGAUGACCAUGUCAUCAACAUAGAGAAGAAGAAAAGUCCGACCACGAGAAGAAAGGUGAAUAAACAAUGCUGGAUCAUGAACACUGGGUGAAAAACCAGCGGCGGUGACCACAGAGGCAAAACGCUCAAACCAGGCGCGUGGAGCUUUCUUAAGGCCAUAGAAAGAGCGACGAAGACGACAUACCAUGCCAUCAGGAACAGAAUAUGACAGAAGGUGAUCAAUGUCAUGUCAAAAAAUCUUCUAGAGUUGAUCUAGAACAACUGCAAGAUGUCAAAUGCGUAUGCGUAUGUACCAAACGAUGCAUAAGCCUAGAUCACGUCUAAGACAUGGAAAGUGGAACCUUCAUGGAAGGUGGCCGAACCGAUCGCAUAUACUUUUCCAACACGGAGAAGAAGGGGAUAUAAAAUCAUCCCGGCCGUCCGUUCCAAGCUCCAGGCCCCCUCAUCAAUCCUCGACGCGUCUGUCCGUCCGUCAUCGCGCGCGCGCGGCACAGAAGUCAGAACCCCCAACCACGCCCGCCACCGCCGACCGCGCACCGCCCCGCCCNNNNNNNNNNNNNNNNNNNNNNNNNNNNNNNNNNNNNNNNNNNNNNNNNNNNNNNNNNNNNNNNNNNNNNNNNNNNNNNNNNNNNNNNNNNNNNNNNNNNAGGUAUAUCAGGCAAUUCAUAUCUAGGAGAGCUAGAUCUAGCAGGAGCAAAAGCAGGUUCUAUCUCAAUAAUAUCGGCAGUUUCAGAAGCAUCACGAGCAUUGAUAGUAACUCUAGCAAUAUGAGCAUCAAGGAAUACCCCUAGUGGCAUAUCAGGCAAAGUAGUAUCUCUAGCAGUAUCAAGCAUAGCAUCAUCAGGCAAAAUAGCAUCUCUAGCAUCAUCAGGCAAAGCAGUAUCAAGCAUAGCAUCAUCAGGCAAGGCAGUAUCAGGCAUAACAUCUCUAGCAGUAUCAGGCAUAGUAGCAUCAUAAGCAUCAUCAAGCACAUGCAACAUAUCAAGAUUUCUAGCACGAGGUGGUGUCGCAAACUUACUCAUAACUUAAGGUGAAUCAAGUGCAGAGCUAGAUGGCAGUUCCUUACCUCCCAUCAUAGUUGAGGGCAAAACUUUGGUUUUUGGAUCUUUUAGAUUCUUCAUAGUGAUCGGCAGAUAUAAAUCCCAAGUGACUCAGAGAAUAUAGCAAUCACCUUCCCCGGCAACGGCGCCAGAAAAAUGUUGUUAGCAGAUCCCUGGCAAUGGCUAGAAAAGUGUUGUUCUCGAUUGCUCAACAAUUAGAAAUUGUCUUGCAAUAGCCCACCAGCGCGUGGGAUCGAGGCAGUUUUCGAGGGUAGAGUAUUCAACCCAAAUUUGUUGGUUCGCACGACGGGAAGUGAAAGUAUAUUCUCAAGUAUUAGCAGCUGAAUGUGUCAGAUUCAACCACACCUGAAAGAUUAGUAUCUGCAAGCAAAGUGUCAACAGCAAAGUAGUAUGAUAACAACGGUGCCAGAAACGAUCUGUUGACGGCAGACUAUUCCUAACUGUUGUAUCAAUGGCGCCAGAAGUUGCCCGUGGACGGGAAAUGUUCUUUCCCAGCAACGGUGCGCGAAAAAGUAUUGUAGCAGGUAGCAGCAGUGGCAAGGAACAGCAGUAGUGACAGCAGUAGCAAGUAGCAACGACAAGUAACAGUAGUGGCAGCAGCAGCAGGGCAAAGCAAGUAAUAGUAGCAACAAGUAACAGUAGCAGAGCAAAACAAGUAACAACAGCAGUGGGACAAACUCGUAGGCAAGGGGUCGGUGAUUUGUUGGAUGACAUUCAUCAUGCAACAGUUAUAACACGGAGAGAUAUGUGGCUAGCUCCCGUUCGUCAAUGUGAUGUAGGCAUGCAUUUCGUGUGUCGUCAUACGUGCUUAUGGAAAAGAACUUGCAUGACAUCUAUUGUCCAUCCCUCUCGUGGCAGCGGGGUCCAAAAGGAUACUACGGGAUAUUAAGGUUCUCCUUUUAAUAAAGAACCGGAACAACGCAUUAGCACUUGGUGAACACAUGAACUCCUCAAACUAUGGUCAUCACCGGGAGUGGUUCCGGUUAUUGUCACUCCGGGGUUGCCGGAUCAUAACACAUAGUAGGUAACUACAACUUGCAAGAUCGGAUCUAAAANNNNNNNNNNCAGAUAUGAAAUCAUGGCACUCGGGCCCUAGUGACAAGCAUUAAGCAUGGCAAAGUAGUAGCAACAUCAAUCUCAGAACAUAGUAGAAACUAGGGAUCAAUCCCCGUCAAAACUAACUCGAUUACAUGAUAGAUGUCAUCCUACUCAUCACCGCCCAACGAGCCUAUGAAUAGAUUACUCACGAACGAUGAAGAGCUUCAUGGAAUUGGAGAGGGAAGAAGGUUGAUGAUGACGAUGGCGAUGAUUUCCCCUCCCCGGAGCCCAAAGCGGACUCCAGAUCUGCCCUCCAGAUGAAGAACAGGAUGUGGCGGCGCCUCCGUAUCGCAAACAAGAUGAAAUCUUCUCUCUUGAUUUUUUCUGGGACGAAAGGGAAUAAAUAGCGCUGGAAUUGGGGGCGGUAGAGCCACGUGGGCCCCACAAGCUUGGUAGCCGCCACCAGGGGGCGACGGCUACAGGGCUUGUGGCCCACUGGCCCGUCCCCUCCGGUGGAUCUUUGCGCAGGUAUUUUUCAUAUUUUCCACAAAUAUUCUCCGUAAAUUUUCAGGACGUUCCGAGAACUUUCAUUUAUGCACAAAAACAACACCAUGGCAAUUCUGCUGAAAACAACGUCAGUCCNNNNNNNNNNUCAUUCAAAUCAUGCAAACUAGAGUCCAAAACAAGGGAAAAAGAGUUUGGAAAAGUAGAUACGAUGGAGACGUAUCAAGCGUCAUGCCGCAUCCUACACCAUGUUGUCGUGGAAGGAGAAACCAGAGAGUAAGGCUCGUUUCGAAAGCUACUCAAUUGGCCAUUCCAAUCCAUUAUAUUUAUUGAGUGAGUGGACUCCCAUAAGGCUCACAAUUAUGGUCACAAUCUAUAAAAAUAUAAGCCAUCAGUAGAAGUAGUUAACAGUAAACUAUAAGCAUUAAUCAUAGAACUAUUCUUAGACAAUGCAAGUAAACACAUGUUUUAUCAAUGUAAACAUAGAAACACAUUUGCGUAUGUAUAUACACUAUAAUCAUGACGUAGUACGUAGUAGUGAUGGAUUGUUCCAACAGUGAAGACUCCCUAAAACCACACGGCCAUGGCAAGAGCAUAAAGCAUAGAUAAUCAAUACUAUAAAUUUAAUGUAUAAAUAGGAAGGCCUCUACCAAUUUAGUGCAUUUCGUUCUUUUGAUGGACUACAUGAGAUGUACACUUACCAAGAAAAAUGUGGAACCAUCGGAUGUCUAUUGCCUAAGCUGAUCACAGAGAUAUGCAAGUGAAGAAACAAUAGUUACAAAUAAAUAAUUACUAAGAGUGAAGUAAAAACACGAGGUAUACAAUCGAAUUAAUGAUGUGAUGUACGAAGAUGGUGAAAAAGAUAGUGAUAUUGAUAGAGAGAUAAUCGAUGCAUGGUUCCUUAGUGCACCCUUUGGCAAAAUGAAAACAAAAACCAAAGCAAGACCACUAAAUAACAUACAGAUCCCAAAUGGCCCAAGCAAAAGCUCCGAGAGGACUUCCAUUCAUGAUUAGAAAAAAUAUAAGAACAUUUUUAACCAAAAAACUUUUCAGAAAAUAAAUUUACUUGACACUCUCGUUUUAAACAACCCGUGAGGGAUCUGCGCCACACUAAUUCAAAUAAGCAAUGUAGCAAUUAAUAUUGAUGGGAGCAGCUUAAAAAUAGAUUGAUGUCCAGUGAACUAAACAGUAAAGAAAAUCAUAAUAAAGGGUCUGCUCUGACCAAAAUAGAUACUACCCCCUUAUGUCAUAUGGGAGAAAAAAUAGACCCAUCACCAAAGUAAGACAUAAAUCCGAAGUCUAGAUGGAUCUUCACUCACAUCAACAUAAUAGAGGAAUAUACCAGAAAGACGAACACUAUAUAGUAGAUAAGAAAAAUGUGUGUAUUCGUAGCAUAGCAAAAGAGGGCUCAAUUUUGUCUUUGAUCUUCAAGCCGAACACUCACAUCUCUUGCUGCAUAACAUACUUCUACCUCUUGAGCUUGUGUUAGUUUUUCCCUCGAAGAGGAAAGGGUGAUGCAACACAGUAGCAAUAAGUAUUUCCCUUAGUUUGAGGACCAAGGUAUCAAUCCAGUAGGAGUAUCAAGGCAAGUCUCCAAAGUACCUGCGCAAAACAAGCAAACUUGCACCCAACGCUACAAAGGGGUUGUCAAUCCCUUCACGAUUGAUUGCAAGGUGAGAUCUGAAGGCGGAAGGUACAACAAAGUAAAAGUGUAGAGCUGAAAAUAUGAUGUGAAGUAGACCCGGGGGCCAUAGUGUUCACUAGAGGCUUCUCCCAUGAUAGCAAAUAUUACGGUGGGUGAACGAAUUACUGUCGAGCAAUUGAUAGAACCGCGCAAAGUCAUGAUGAUAUCUAAGGCAAUGAUCAUACAUAUAGGCAUCACGUCCGAGACAAGUAGACCGAUACUUCCUACAUCUGCUACUAUUACUCCACACAUCGACCGCUAUCCAGCAUGCAUCUAGUGUAUUGAGUUCAUAACAAACAGAGUAACGCCUUAAGCAAGAUGACAUGAUGUAGAGGGAUAAAUUCAUGCAAUAGAUAUAAUCCCCAUCUUUUUACCCUUGAUGGCUGAUAUGUCUCCAUCGUAUCUACUUUUCCAAACUCUUUUGCCCUUGUUUUGGACUCUAAUUUGCAUGAUUCGAAUGGAACUAACCCGGACUGACGCUGUUUUCAGCAGAAUUGCCAUGGUGUUGUUUUUGUGCAGAAAUGAAAGUUCUCGAAACGUCUUGAAAAUUUACGGAGAAUAUUUAUGGAAAAUAUGAAAAAUACCUGCGCAAAGAUCCACCGGAGGGGACGGGCCAGUGGGCCACAAGCCCUGUAGCCGCCGCCCCUGGUGGCGGAUACCAAGCUUGUGGGGCCCACGUGGCUCUGCCGCCCCCAAUUCCAGCGNNNNNNNNNNUGAAAAAAUCAAGAGAGAAGAUUUCGUCGCGUUUGUGAUACGGAGGCGCCGCCACAUCCUGUUCUUCAUCUGGAGGCAGAUCUGGAGUCCGUUUUGGGCUCCGGAGAGGGGAAAUCGUCGCCAUCGUCAUCAUCAACCUUCUUCCCACUCCAAUUCCAUGAAGCUCUUCAUCGUUCGUGAGUAAUCUAUUCGUAGGCUCGCUGGGCGGUGAUGAGUAGGAUGAGAUCUAUCAUGUAAUCGAGUUAGUUUUGACGGGGAUUGAUCCCUAGUAUCCACUAUGUUCUGAGAUUGAUGUUGCUACUACUUUACCAUGUUUAAUGCUUGUCACUAGGGCCCGAGUGCCAUGAUUUCAGAUCUGAAAUUAUUAUGUUGUCACCAACAUAUGUGUGUUUUAGAUCCGAUCUUGCAAGUUGUAGUUACCUACUACGUGUUAUGACCCGACAACCCCGGAGUGACAAUAACCGGAACCACUCCCGGUGAUGACCGUAGUUUGAGGAGUUCAGGUGUUCACCAAGUGCUAAUGCGUUGGUCCGGUUCUUUAUUAAAAGGAGAACCUUAAUAUCCCGUAGUAUCCUUUNNNNNNNNNNNNNNNNNNNNNNNNNNNNNNNNNNNNNNNNNNNNNNNNNNNNNNNNNNNNNNNNNNNNNNNNNNNNNNNNNNNNNNNNNNNNNNNNNNNNGUAUAAUAACUUAUACUACAAAUGAUCACACAUGAAAAUAUAAGGAAAUUCAGAGACACAUAUGAAUCAAUCGAACAGAGAACCUUGAAUUCCAGCCAAUCAACACAAAAUUCAAAUCCACUAAAAUCAUUAUACUUGCGAAGGGAGACGGAGCACCGUUAGAUACACAUAAAGAUCUCACCUCAAAGACCAUCACUACCUUACAGAGCUUUGCUGACUUGCAACUAUUCCUGACUUGAUGCCUCCACGGUAACAGAGCCAGAAAAGAGCUCGUCCCAAUUGCUCAACAAUUAGAAAUUGUCUUGCAAUAGCCCACCAGCGCGUGGGAUCGCGGCAGUUUUCGAGGAUAGAGUAUUCAACCCAAAUUAGUUGGUUCGCGCGACGGGAAGUAAAAGAAUAUUCUCAAGUAUUAGCAGCUGAAUGUGUCAGAUUCAACCACACCUGAAAGAUUAGUGUCUGCAAGGAAAGUAUCAGCAGCAAAUUAGUAUGAUAGCAAUGGUGCCAGAAACCAUCUGGUGACAAGGCAGACUAUUCCUAAUUGUUGUAUCAAUGACGCGAGAAGUUGCCCGUGGACGGGAAACAUUCUUUCCCAGCAACGGUGAGAGAAAAAGUAUUGUAGCAGGUAGCAAUAGUGUAACGAGUAACAGGAGUGGCAAGGAACAACAGUAGUGACAGCAGUAGCAAGUAGCAACAGUAGCAAGUAGCAGUAGUGGCAGCAGCAGGAGGACAAAGCAAGUAACAGUAGCAGCAAGUAACAAUAGCAGCAAUAGUAGUAACAGCAGCAGCAACAGUAGUAACAGCAGCAGAGCAAAAAAAGUAACAACAACNNNNNNNNNNGAAAAGCAAGUAACAGUAGCAGCAAGUAACAAUAGCAACAAUAGUAGUAACACCAGCAGCAACAGUAGUAACAGCAGCAGAGCAAAAAAAGUAACAACAACAGUGGGACAAACUCGUAGGCAAUGGGUCGGUGAUUUGUCGGAUGAUAUUCAUCAUGCAACAAUUAUAACACGGAGAGAUAUGUGGCUAGCUCCCGUUCGUCAAUGUGAUGNNNNNNNNNNCUUGUCGGAUGAUAUUCAUCAUGCAACAGUUAUAACACAGAGAGAUAUGUGGCUAGCUCCUGUUCGUCAAUGUGAUGUAGGCAUGCAUUCCGUGUGUCAUAUACGUGCUUAGGGAAAAGAACUUGCAUGACAUCUAUUGUCCAUCUCUCCCGUGGCAGCGGGGUCCAAAAGGAUACUACGGGAUAUGAAGGUUCUCCUUUUAAUAAAGAACCGGACCAACGCAGUAGCACUUGGUGAACACAUGAACUCCUCAAACUAUGGUCAUCACCAGGAGUGGUUCCGGUUAUUGUCACUCCGGGGUUGCCGGGUCAUAACACAUAGUAGGUAACUACAACUUGCAAGAUCGGAUCUAAAACNNNNNNNNNNNNNNNNNNNNNNNNNNNNNNNNNNNNNNNNNNNNNNNNNNNNNNNNNNNNNNNNNNNNNNNNNNNNNNNNNNNNNNNNNNNNNNNNNNNNGUGACGAACUAGUUGGAGCACCCCUGCAGGGUUUAAUCUUUCGGAAAGCCGUGCCCGCGGUUAUGUGGCAACUUGGAAUAUUUUGUUAACAUCCGGUAUUAGAGAACUUGAACAUAAACUAAUAAAAAUGCCAACUGUGUGUGUAACCGUGACUGUCCCUUCGAAGCCCUCUCUUCGAUCGGGAACACGGUGGGGUUAUGAAUGCCGUAGGUAUGUGUUCAGGAUCACUUUCUGACCAAGUAUUCUCGAUCGUUAGCGUAGACCACUUUUACUUCCUUCUCGCGUAAGUUAGCCACUUAUUCAAUCAUAGGAUGUAGCCGCCUGAAACACUUCAUCCCUCCCUUACCCAAUAACAUGACUAGUUCUGGCACCAAGGUCUUAGAUUGCUGAGUCCCCGUGGCUCACGGAUUCCUCCGAAACUCCCAGCAGGUACAGGUACCCCAGAGGUAGAUGAUCCCGACGGCUCCCAGUUGGCGUGGCAGUACGACGAGGAGACAGAUCGCCUUUACGUGAACUAUCCAGAGGACUGAGUCGUGGUCGUGAUCGUGGGCCUACAGCGGGUAGCAUAGCAUUUCCCUUGUUUUGUAGUCCGUACCGGAACUACCUUGUUUGUAUCUGCGCUGUACUCUGUAUUAUUAAUAAGAAGACAGUUGAAUCCCAGAUUGUCCACUAUAUUUAUUAUUAUGUGCUAUGUUUACUUGCUUGCAAAACACUUAGAUGCNNNNNNNNNNNNNNNNNNNNNNNNNNNNNNNNNNNNNNNNNNNNNNNNNNNNNNNNNNNNNNNNNNNNNNNNNNNNNNNNNNNNNNNNNNNNNNNNNNNNAGCAUCACCGGAAUCCCGAUGCACAAGAUAUCUCUUCAAAGGUAAAACUAAUCCAGCAAGGCCGCCCGACGUGUCGACGAUCCCGAUAGGAGUCGCGUACCUCGUUCUCAGGACACGACGGAUGAGCGAUGGUUACCACGCCAAACGCCGAGUUGCCCCGGGUAGCGUUAAUAAGCUGCUCUGUUUUGGACCAACACUCAUGAGGAGCACUGGCCCGGGUGUUGAUUAAAAUAGUCCGCGGGUGCCGACGGGUCCCUAUGCAAUUUUAUUAGGUGAUUAGGCAAAUGUAGUACCAAUGUUGGGCCUUGCCAGACCAGCUUUAAUCUAAAACGAAUUAUCAAGGGGGUCCCCAUAACAACCCCGGUCGUGUUAGGAGCGCUCAAUUAUGGAACAUAACACCGGUAGCCGGAAACUAAGGGGGCAAAGGUGGAACAAAACACCAGGCUAGAAAAGGCCGAGCCUUCCACUUUUACCAAGUAUAUAGGUGCAUUAAAUUAAAUAGCAUUUAAUAUGGUGAUAUAACAAGGAACCCAUGCUUUCGCAUGGAAGCAUCUGCACCUGCAACUAGCAACGCUAUCAACAGGGUUAAGCAAGCAGUAACAUAGCCAAUCAGUGGUUUGCUAGGUCGAACAGGUUGAAGGGUAACAUGGCAUUGUUGAGAGGCUGGUAUUUAACAUGUGGUAGGCAACGAGACAUAAUCGACAGAAACGGUAAACUAGCAUGGCAAUGAUAGUAAUGGUAUCUGGGGAAAUGAUCAUCUUGCUUGAGAUCCCGCUUAGAAGAAGAAUGACUCCGUGAAGCACACAAACCGACGUAGUCGAACGGGUCCUCACAUCCGACACGCUUGCGGAACUCUAUAGAGACAGGGAAAACCGGAAACACAAAUCAUCACACGGAAUUCACCACACGAUGCACAACACAAAUGAUGCAUGAGCAGCUGAAUACAUGCAAGUCACGACAUGACAAUUCACACAAUCAAACACUACACAUUAAGUGAAGUUCAAUAUGCAACGAGUUGCAUAUUGACGAAACUCCACGUUUAAUUGUUUAGUUCACUCCCGAUUAGGUACACGGCAAUAUUAAUUGUGGUUAAACAUGGCAAGAGGUGAAGCGUAAUUAAACUACCUAUCUAGGCAUUUUAAAUGAGGUCGGAAAUGUCAUAUAGCACCUCCGAAACGACCUCACAUGUUAAUUUACAAUUCUAUCCAGAUCUGAACUAACACAUUUAAUUAGUUGUUAAACAGCAAAAAAAUAGGUUCACGUGAUUCUACGCGUCAUUUCAAGCAAUCUACACAUAAAGAACAUCUCCAACGGAGCUACGGUUCAAAAGAUACAAGCAUCGCAAGAUAUGUUGGCAUGAAUGCAAUAUGUGUGCAACGGCGGCUACGAGCACUUCAAAACAUCCAACCAGCAAGGGAAAAUGAAACUUCACGAGAUUCUAAGCAAGUUUCAUGUAGGACACGAUCAAAUCGGAGCUAUGGUUCAAAAACUACGAGCAAAACAGGAAAUGACUACAAUCUGCCAAAAUCAGCCACAUAGCACAUCCUACACCUCACAACUACGGCUACACAACUUCGAUAUGCUCAAGCAAGGCAUGGCACGGAAGAGGGCAAUAAGCACUACUACGAACAGCUAACAACAACUAGCAUGGCAGCAAGGAGCACUAGGAAAAGAAGACACAAAAUGGCAUCUCACACACUAUUUCAAACUUAGUGAAAAUUACACCUCAUGAAAGUGCAGUUUUCAGCCUGAAGCAAUAUUGACACCAGCAAAACCUAUAGCUACAGGACUCCAAAUGGCAUGAAAAUUUGCAGCAAGCUAGAGAAACACAAGGGGUACAACUAACUCCAUUGGACCAACCUCAANNNNNNNNNNNNNNNNNNNNNNNNNNNNNNNNNNNNNNNNNNNNNNNNNNNNNNNNNNNNNNNNNNNNNNNNNNNNNNNNNNNNNNNNNNNNNNNNNNNNCCUGGCCGCCGCCCCCUCUCCCAUCUGGGGCUGCCGCACCCCUUGGGGGUGGGAACCCUAAGGGUUGCGCCCCCUCCCCCUCCCCCUAUAUAUUGUUGAGGUUUCGGGGCUGUUUUGCACACGGUUUCCUUUCUCUCUCUCAGCGCAGCCCUGCCCUUUUUCCUCCUCCUCUCUGCCGGUGCUUGGCGAAGCCCUGUCGGGAGACCUCGUCUUUCCAUCAACACCACGCCGUCAUGCUGUUGGAGUUCUUCCCCAACCUCUCCCUCCUCCUUGCUGGAUCAAGGUGCGGGAGACGUCACCGGGCUGCACGUGUGUUGAACGCGGAGGUGCCGUAGUUCGGCACAAGAUCAGAAUCACACCGCGAUCGGAAUCGUUGUGAGUACGACUCCAUCAACCGCGUUAUAGCAACGCUUCCGCUUAGCGAUCUUCAAAGGUAUGAAGAUGCUCUUACCCCUCUGUCGUUGCUGGUCUCUUCAUAGAAAGAUCUGAAUAUGCGUAGGAAAAUUUUGAAUUUAUGUUACGUUUCCCGAGAGAUUAAUCGUUGAACAACUAAAUUAUGUAUGUUUUCGUCGCAACACACGAGCAAUUAGAUAGUUAGUGCAAAAAUGCCACUAUACAGUUGACCUCAAACAGGACGCUUCGACCCGACUCGCUGCGCUAGGAUUGUCUCGACCCACCGCCGCCACCCCGCCCAGCGCCGCCGCGGGCAGUUCCUCCGUCCCCUCCUCCCUCCAUGAGAAGCACCGGCUAGCCGCCUCCCGCUCCCCCGCNNNNNNNNNNNNNNNNNNNNNNNNNNNNNNNNNNNNNNNNNNNNNNNNNNNNNNNNNNNNNNNNNNNNNNNNNNNNNNNNNNNNNNNNNNNNNNNNNCUCCGCCUGCGCCUGCCCCCGCUCUGCUCCGCCGCCAGUCCCCGGCGCCGUCAGGUGGACACAGUUCCAGGUUGACGUUGAGCCGAGCGCGGCGUUCUUCUCAAUCCUGUACGUGUUACAGUUCAAUUCGUUGUCAAAACUGCAUCAUACCCCACACAUGGUCCGCAUGUAUGAUUUGUUAAUUUGGCUAUAUUGCCACAUAUCGUGAUGAACAUAGAUACAACCCAACCCUUUUGCGCAUACAGUGAGAGAUGAGAAGGCUGUCCUACUCUGUCUGUUUCCUGACUAGAGUCGUUCAGUAAGAAAUAUGUAUUUUUCUCUAGCAUGUUGUGCUGCUACCAGUUUUGUUAUGUGUACCUAAUUAUUCAAUUUCCGAGUGCCAUUUUGCUAUUAUGUUGUAGAGACGAGGACAUCGUAUCAUGUGACAUGCUUUUUCAGCGGACGGGGACGUCAUAACGCACACGCCAGAUAUACAUCAUUUACCAUGUCUAUGUACCCAUCAGGAUGCUUCUCCAUACCAUAUAGCCAGGUGUGUUUGAAUUAGUUCACUCUUCUCUCUUAUGUAAAUGCUUCUUUGUCUACUCUAUUCUGAGCCACAUAUAUGCCUAAGCUUUGUUAUGGUCAUUGCAACAUUGAUAAUUGCUAACUUCUUUAUGAUCCCUUGUUAACAUUGAUAAUUGUAUCUAAUUCUCUUAGAUAUUUAAUUAUUUCAUUUAUCGGCCAGCUUAUAUACUUCUGCAACAUUUCCUUGGUAGGAUAUACUAAUUCACCCUGCAGUUAGAGGAUUGAUAGUAGGAACUGCCACUAAACGUUUAAAUAGGAGAAUAUGAACUGCAGCCUGGGGUAAUUAUGAGACACAAAGUCUCCUAUUUUUGUGUGUUUAGUGUUUGCAUUUUGUUGUUUCUAUCACAUAAUUUGGAUCAUCCUUGAAAUUAAAACCCUCGAAGAUUUUGUGGGUGUCUUGUCAUUGUAUGGUACAUGUAUUUCUAUUAAGUAAUUUUGUGUAAUAAUGAAAACCAAUUGACAUUGUUUUGCAGUUUUAACACGGAUCCCAACAUGAAGCAGCUUCAAGGGAUCCUGAUUGACAUAGAAACAGACGCGGAGCAACUUCUUCUGGCAAGACAUCAGGUCUGUCGGUGCUACUGGCUUUUUCUAUUCAUGCUAGAAGUCUCAGUAUUGAUUUGUUUUGAUCUGUUCCGUGUAUGAUCAGCUAGUGGAGAACGAUAGGAUGAGGAAUGCUAAUAGGGAGGCCCUCACAGCCCUCAGGAAAAGAGCUAAGACAACUAAGACCAGUGUCCCAUAUCCAUUUGAGAUCGUAAUGAAAGAGAUGGAAGGAACUUCUACCAAACAGCUAGUAAAGGAGAUAUGCUCAACUUGUGGGAAUCACGACCCCAAAGAACAUACCUGGCUAAUGUUUCCAGGCUCGGAUAUUUUUGCUCGUGUUCCAUUUCACGUAGCGCACACUGUUCUAGAUAAAGGUAUUUACCUUCUUGGGUUUUUGAUCCAUGCAAUCUGAUUUAUUUCAAUUUACUAUCUAGUAGGUUUGAUAUAAGUUUGUACCAACGACUCUGCCAUCGAUUUCAAUAUUCAGGUGGUUCAUGCUUUCAAAUUUAUUCACAUGUGUUGUUAAUCUGCUAUGAGGUUUAAAUUAGUUAUUGUAUUUUGUUGUUUUACUUGUAUUCACCAAAAAUCAUGUUGGGCUCAAGUAUGUGGUCUUUCGAUACCGUUGACAUGUGAAGUGGUGCUUGGAGUCCCUGUCUGUUCUAAGGUUGCAUUUUAUCUGCAACCUCUUCUGAAUGCAAAAUGCCAACAUGGUAUGUUGCAAAAGCUUGUUUAGCCGAAUGCAUCUGUUUAUGUUCGCAAAUGAUGUCUCUGAUGCUCAUAAGUCUUGAUUAUCAUUGUUUUUGCUACAUAAUUUGGGGAAAUUUCAAGAAUAUCUUGUUGAAGGACCGUUAGCUCGUUGAGAUUGCGCUGAUGGUUGCGAUUUCCAAAUGAUGCAGAUCAAGAGCGUCUAGACUACAACACCAAGAAGCUGCAAAGCUUUGUCAAGGAGAAAUCGUUUGCGAUCUCCGAGAAAGGCGCCCUUGCGGACAAGAUCAGCCCAGGCAUCGUGAGAUCCUUCGUCAGCCUUGCAGACAAACCUAAGUAGUAGGCACACGCCGCAAGGGGCAGAUGAGUCAUGUCCGCCGGUCCUGGUCCUCGACAGCUCGAACAUCUCCUGAAAUGAAGCUUCUGCUGGGUUCAGCAAUUGUUUUAUUAACGGCCCCGCGCUUUACCUGCGUCUCGGUUUGGUUUUGCCAUGCUGUGAGAUUAGGGUGUUGCUAGGAACGAGAGAAGUGUAGUCGAUCGACAUUUAACCCUUGUUAUCUAUCAUCACCAGGUGUGCUGUGUUGGCAAACCUGAGUCCUGAACCUGAACCUAUUCUUGUAGCAUGUUAUCUUCAUUCAUAUGAAGUUGUAACAGUAUUACGACGGGAAAGAGCCAAGACAACUAAAACCUGAGUCCUUUUUCUCAUGGAUGACUUGUUUAUCUUUGGAGUACAAACAUGAUGAUCUAUUUUGCCUUAAGUGAGGGCCUUUAUCUCUCGUCCAUAAGUGAGGGCAUGUUUAAGUAGUAAGUACAGUAAAUCUGAAAUUCAAAUGAUGGUUUAUUUUGCGCAGGUGGACAUGAAGGACAAGGUGACAAAGAUGGGGAGGCACUAACAACAAUGUGGCUGGACAGGCGUAUGUAUCUAAGCAAUGUGGUUGCCAAAUAGCCAUUGUUGCAAAGGGCAUGAGACAUGUUGGCUUUUUACGUUGUUGCAACAGGCAAGGCAAAGGUGUGAUGGGAGAACCCGGCACAUCACUUUUCUCUUGAACAGGAACAUGUGUGCUAUAUCUCUGGUAGCCAAGCCAUGACCCGCUGCUCUCUGAAAGUAAGUGCUUCCUUUUUCUUUUUUACUUACAUAUAAGAUUAUAAAGGUUUGUCUGAAGGCAAACUUCGACCAAAUAUAUAUUACCUCUACAAUAUUAAAGCUAUAUAAUACGAAAGUUAAUUCCAUGAUGCAUCUAACAAUAUCUGUAUGGCAUUAUGGAUGCUGACGUUUUUUCCUAUAAACAUGGUCAAACUUUUAUGAAGAUUUUUUUUUUAAAUGAAAGCAAAAGAUUUGUCUCAUCGAUUAGUUAAGCCGAAGAGAGGAUGAAUGAAGUUUGACUUUGGACAAAUCUUGUAUGCGAAGUAAAAAAGAAACGGAGGGGGUAACUAAAACUGAUGAGGUUUGCGACGAAGAUGAUGAUUAUGAUGAUGAUGACUGGCUGGCUAUAGGUUGGGCCUCUGUGCCAUUCUUCAUCCGUGUGCAUCCAUCUGCUCUAGUCACUGGUGCAUAUUGUGAGUAGUAGUGGUAUCUUUUCUUUGUCCUUAAUGCCACUUGCCACAGAUGCCAAGUCUUCUUCAUUGUUCUUUUGGGGGGAAAGUCCAAAUACUAGGCAGACGUCUGCAUCCGGUGGGUGGACCGGCGUCGGUGCGGCGGAUCAGAUCCAACCCACCUCUCUGACUUAACACAAAUGCACACACCUUGAUUAAGUACUCAGAUGCAGGUUAGCAGUGCUUCCUUUUGCAGCAGAGCACUUGCUGCUUAAUUAAGGUUAAGCAUCCAUGAGAAAGGGUUGGCAAUGGCAUGCAUCACAUGACGACAGACAGAGAGCUGAGGACGCAUGUGAUCUAUGUAUACGUUGACGUCUCUGUUUGCUUGCUUGCUUGCUCCCGGUGGUUAGCUAGCUGUACCAAACCCCCAACGGUCCAGAUCGUCCGUGCAGUGCAUGCAGAGGGCGGCGUUAACGUACGUACGUGCACGCCGCGGAAACAAAAUACAAAAUCAAAAUGACAAUCGAUGGAUCUGGAUGCAAGCAAGCAAACAAACCUUGGGUUUUUCUUCUUCAUGACGGGCCACGUUCGCGCGAUGAAUGUGCCGUGCGGCCUUCUGCAUGCGGCUCGUCUGAUGAUGCUGCCGUUGCGCUCUAGGGCUUUACCUUGGCACUUUUUCUACGUGGAGUAGCAUAUAUUUUAUGGACUGAUCAUUGCCGGUUAUGGGUGGUGAUGAUGGAGGAAACAAAAGGGAAUGGGGUGUCCAUUUUAAAUGAGAAAAUCAUACAAGGAACAGAGGGCAGAACAACACGAUGAUUUCAUAUGAAUUUAGAGGAUUCCAAUCCACGAUUUCUUGCGGAAGCCCUUUGGAUCAUAGGACUCUGGGAUGAUCGAACUAGUACCAUGGAAUACAAUCCUUUGCCCCUCAUGCAAUAAGAAUCCUAUCAAAUUUCUUAAAGCAACUCCAACGCGUCCAUCCAUUUCGUCCACGCGCGUUCGUUUGGGUUACGGUGGACAAAAAGUCCGCCCAACGAGACGACCUAAAUGGACGCGCGUUCGUUUUUCGUUCGCUCGCGGCUCAUUCUGAGUGUAAAUUUGACCGUCGUUUGCCUCACCACGGACACGAAGCGGACACACGCCUCGCCCGCGUGCUCCUUCCCCUGACCCUCUAGUCGGCGUCACAGUCUCUCCUUCUUAUCCCCUUCCCCCACCCACCACCCGCAAGCACACAAAUCCUAGGCCGGCGACCCCAUUUCCCCCGGCCACCCUAGCUCUCUAGCAACAAAUCCAUCAGCGGGGUGCCUCCUUCGUCCCGGUGCGGAUUUGCAGCGGAGGCGGGUUUGGCGAAAUUUUGCGCAUCUUGCCGGAGGGAUUUGACGAAUCCGGUCGCCGGCAGACUGCGCUUGCCAUGGACUGGCCGGGUGUCGGCCCACCAGGUCCGGACAAUCCCUCGGUGCCACAUGCAGGCGCUCAAUCCGCCUCUAGCCGCUCAGGUCUGACCCGUCGCAGGUUUUGCCGGCAAGUCCACGGCUGGCCGUCGCCCUGGCUCGAAGAAUUGAUAAAAAUGUAUGUAUUAAAAUGCAUUUGAUGAAAUAAAAAUAACAUUCAAAUCCAAAACAAAGCAAAAAGGGUGAUUAAAAAAUGGAUGAUGGAGAGCCGAGCGGACGAAAAAUGGGUCGGUCCGUUGGACGACCGGCCCAUUUGCUAAAGAGGAUGGACAUGUCAAUUCGAACGGAUAAAAGACGGAUAAAAACAUGCGUCCGUUUGGGUCGCGCGGUUGAAAUUGCUCUUAGAAACACUAUUACUACUCUCCCUCUAAAAUUCCCGUGUUUUUAGGUGAGAUCGCGGAUCAAACCUCAAUACUCAAUCUGCGGAUAGAGAUUCAAAACAGACAACCGGUGAAUCGCAUUUGUGAGUAUUCAUAUUCAAUUAUCUCUUUUUUGGUUUUCUAAGUGUGGUUGAAUUAGGAGCUAAAACGUUUUAAUGUUGUACAUAUACGUUGAUGUGCGUCUACAAAUGUUCUGAAUACUAUGUAGUUUCGGAAAAAACGAUCUUCCCUAAAGCAAAGUCUUACCCAUACUAGUUGCCCUUGGUCAAAGAGCAAGGAUCAAUUUGGGAAGUGUUAGAAUAAAUGAGCUUGGUCCAUUAACAAAUACUCCCAGCGUGAGUGAUAAGUUUAGAACCACAUUCACACGUAAUGAUCCAAGCAUGACAUUCAGAAGGAACAAAAAAGAAACGAAAGAUCAACUAAGAUACUCUUAAAUUGUCGGUUCACUCGUGUACUUAGCUAGCGCUACAAGGCUGGACAUCUAUUUUGCUGUGACCGAAUUGAGUAGGUCCAUGUCCAACCCGAAUGAUGAUCAUUGGCAUGCACUUGAAAGGAUCUUGCGUUAUCUGAGAGGUACUAUGAGUUAUGAAAUUCACCAUUCAAUGCAUCCUACUGUGCUAGAAGGAUACAGUGAUUAGAACUGGAUCUUCGAUUUGAUCUACACUCCGCGCCGCAAGUGGAUACGUAUUUACUCACGGAGGUGAUCCACUGUCAUGGAGGUAUUGCAAGCAGACCAUAUUGGCCGGGCCGGGGCGGAAAGGCGCAUAAGUGCAACAUGCGCGUGAAUGGCCCGUCGAAAUUUGGCCCGUUGCCUUGCGGGGGGCGUGACUUCCUUCUGUCAUUUUAAUUUCUAUGUCUUCACGGGCAAGUUAAUUAUUGCUUGUCCGGCAAGUAUAUGACUUCAAAACCAAGUUAGUUUGAGAUCGUGAUCGCCACAUGAUCACGACACAAUACCGACUUCGGUCUUAAUACAUAUACUGCUAUCGGUUACGGGCAAAGACACACCGAAAACAUCUAUGAUUUCGCCUCAUCUCGCAACUUGCACCAUCACCAUAAUCUACCUCAUCUCAAACGUCGGUGUGCAUCGGUAUGCGGGAGAGCAGGUCUUUGAAACCGUUUGUCCUUGCGAUCCUACACCGAAAGAGGACGAAUUAGGUUUUUGACAAGCGCUCUGCACGACUGCUCAAAUUCGCCAUCAUGGGUAGCAUAUUGUCCAAGUCGGGCGGUGCUACCCAUCGCCGUAUCCAUCGUUGUCAACAACAGAUCGUCGCCAACAUCAUCAUCAACACAUGUCGCUCCUGCAACAGCUGGCGAACAAUAUGUUCUUCGUGAUAUGUUAAUGUCUCUCUUUGUAGUUGCUACUUUGUGUGUGCUGAUGAUGUGCAUGUUCUGUUAUAAACAACUUUUAAUAAUAAUGUGUAAUCAACAACAUUUCAUGACAACAGCACAUUCUUGUAAACAACAACACAUUCUGUACUUGGGCUAGUUGUGAGAAUUAUGUACAUAUAAUAUGUUUAAUAUUCCCUCUGUAUCACAAUACUUGUUGUUGUAGGAAACUAGUUUAGUUCUCUUGAACAACAAAUAUUUAAAAACGGAGGGAGUACAUGGAUAAAUAAUGUUUAAGGUCUAUUUUCCAUAUUAUAUGAGUAUACAUGGAUACAUGAGUUUGGGUUAUACUAAAAGAUACCCUUACCUCCGAUGGAGUUUAAAUUUUUCCCAUUUAUAUAUCCAUUAUUAUUAUUUUACUCACAUCCUUAUCCUAAUAGGUUUUUUAUCCGACGGAUGUGCAAUAUUUAAGCUACUUCUAGAUGCACUUUAGCAAACCGGGUGCCGAGAAAAGACAAAGCGCGAGGGCUUGACUGAUAAAAGCGCAGUCCCCUCCCCCCCUACCUCUUCCCUACAGGCCAGGGUCACAGGUUCAACAGAGAGAGGCAGAGUUUCCUUCUCCCCCGUGCUCACUCACUGCUCCGCUCACCUCCCCUGUCUUGUCCAAAAGAUCCCUGGCCCAUCCCCCCGCCCGCCGAGAUGGGGGGACUCCGCCGCGGCGGAGCCACGGACGGUCUCCUCUCCCACUCCCACCGCCGCCGCCGCCACCCCGGCCCCAAUGCUCCGCCCCAUCUCGCCGCCGGUACGCCUCCUCCCUGCACUCUUCCUGCUCAUUUCCGUCUCCGAAUCCUAGCCCCCCUUGAGAAGUUCCCCCCUCUUGGAUUCGCUCGUGGGCGCUUCAAUGCCGAGUCCGUCUCUUGUGGUUGUGGAGAUUUCAUUUUCUUUUCUUUUCCUUAUCUGCUUUUGGAGCGGCAGCUCGGGGUUCAUGUGAGGACCGGCCGUCGGCAUUAAGCUCCCGGCCGAAAAAGUUGUGCUUUUCCUCUUCCCGUUUUGCUUCUCGGCCCUAAAAAGCAAUGCGUUUCUCAUGGGGGGAGCUCCGGCUGGCUCCAGGGCCUUCAUCCAUCCAUCCGGGAGGAGACAAGGGAAAGAAAGAAAGUAAAAAUCCAUGCCUGCCUUGUCUUUCCGGAGACACUGUCGAAUGAAUCACGGCAUUUCGUAGUCAAAUCGGUCUGCCCGCGGCAUUUUCGCCCAAAUUCACGGCGAUGUGCUUUGGAUCCUUUCCUGGUCGCCGAUUAGUAAAUUAUUCCCAGCCCCGCUAGAUCACGCGAAACAAGCCGUGUUUUCAGGAACAUGGCGCCACUCUCAAGGUCAGAAACCGUGCGGGGAAAUGUAUACUAUCCUAGUGAUGCGCCCACAUGCUCACGAAGCACUAUGAAGCUUCGUUGACAAUGGGGAUUCCGUAUUCUAAUCGGCAAUAAAUAAACCAACAUGUCGGCUUAAACAAACCUUGGGUUGGGUUGUUUAGCCUCUGACAGGUACAUUUUACUGUACUCGCUAGCUGGGCUGAACAGUGUUGUUGGGAGUAGUAAAUCUGUACUAAAAGUAAGCUUUGCCUGGCCAUUGUGUCGGAUCCAAGUUAACACUUAACAGUACUGCUCGUAUGUACCUACGCACUAUCCGUUGGAUGGUUGGUCGUACAUAGCUUAGCUUGCUCUAUGUAUAUCUUGCGUCGUCGUUGCUGAUUCCGGAUCUAUCGCUGUCGUCCACCCACCCACCAUUCAUCAGCUCUAAGGUUUACUGGCACAGAGUGCUUGCAGAGAUAUCUGCAAUUGUUACCACAAUCCUAGCGUAGCAACUAAACAUAUCGGUAAUAAAAUGUCCGCUCUCCCUUUCCUUCAGUGUUACUAUCUUUGAUCGCGACGUGCCUCGUUACUUUUUCCACCCUGAACUGUCCCUGUGGAGUUUAUUCAUCGGUGCCUUUAUCUUUGGUUCAGGAGUUGGAUCCUCGAGGAAACAAGGAGGUGAACCUGGGAUGCAUUCCAAUUCCUUGGUGAGUGUGUGCUUUUUAAUCUUUAAACCUUUUUGCCGUGUGUAGGUAAAAUGAAAUUCCUAAGCUAAGCCUAUGAAAACUACUCACUCCGUCCCAAAAUAAGUGUCUCAACUUUAUACUAGUUCUAGUAUAAAACUUAUUUUGGGACGGAAGAAGUAUAUAGCAAGUUAGCAGUUGACUCAGCUGAGAUGACCUCUUGCACAGCUUAAAGUAAAAGCGGGAUUAGUUAGUACUUUGUUCUGUAGUAAUUAGUUUGAGCAUGUAAAAAGGGUUAAACAUGUCAAAUGCUCUAUUGUUUUCAAGCUUUUGUCUACAUGACAGUUUAUUAGAGAACCAAUUUCUUGUAAUGUGCAGAUUUUAGCUAAGUGCUUCAUGGUUCAGUUCUCUCUUCUCUUUUGCUACUAAAGCUAUAUCUUCAUUUCUUACUAUGCAGUUCAGUGUGUGAUAUCAUUUCAAGAGCAAGCUAACAAUUUCAGAUGUAACUUUUCUCUUUCCUCAGUUUGAUGGGAGCAGGCUUUGUACACCCAAAAGAGCCGGUCGCACCCCGAUGAAAAUGCUCAUAGACGAUGAUGUCUACAGAGAUGCCACUGCUAGGCAUACGUCUCCUGGUAUUGUGGGCAGGCUCAUGGGCCUUGACAUAAUGCCUUCACUUGGAGCGCGCAUCCAAGAUACAUGUAACGGGGACCGUUCACAGGGCAGGUCGCCACGGAGUUGCAGUGAGAUAUCCGGGAAUUAUAGUGACAGACACGCCUUCUCGGGGGAUGUUCCACGUAGGGCAAGCACUGAUGAGAUUCCGGAAUUCAAAGAUGUUUUCGAAGUAAUGGAGACCACCAGAAUGAAGAACCGAAACCGCAACACUUGUUCUGGGCAUGAGAGGGUUAACAGUGCUGACCUUAAUUUUGUAAGGCAGAAAUUUAUGGAUGCAAAACGCCUUUCUACUGAUGAGUCUUCUCAGAGAUCGAAAGAGUUCAAUAGUGCGGUUGUCGCGAGUGAUCUGCCCAGUCUCGGUUGUCCUCCAUCCUCUGGCGUAAACCGGAUCACGCUAUUGAAACCAUCCAGAAGAAGUAAGUUUGUUGAUGCAGAUUUUGUCUAUCCACCAGAAGAUGACACUGAACGGUGCUUCCACUCACCAAAAGAAGCAAAACAUUCUCCAAGGAAGCCUCGUGCUAACUUUUCUAGUGAAGCUCCCAAAGAAGAAACCGGUUCUUUCAGACAAAAGUUGUCCAGGUCAACCUACAGGGAGAACAUCGAUAAGCGCAUUUCACCCACUAGGAUUGUUGUCUUGAAACCAUGGCUUGAUAAAAAUCUGAACAUGGAAGGGGCAUUUCCAAUAACCAAUGACAUGUUCUGCUCCAGUUACAGAAGGUCCGAAGCAUGCGUAGAUGAUGGUACAAGGCAGUAUGCAGAGGAAUCCGUGCCUCAGACCUCUGCAGCAUAUUCCGAUGCACGGCGCCAAAGAGGUAAGGGGUCCAGAGAAAUUGCUCGAGAGGUUUCGACACAAAUGAAGACAGCUGCUGUCAGGGGAGAUGCAAAUGGAAAACAGAAACUCAGUCUAGAUAUUGGGACAUCCAACCGGGAUGAACAGGUGUCUUUGUUGACAUCCAUGACCAAGCUAAAAAGUUCGGCAGCAGUAGAAAGAUCUUCCGGUCUACAUGAUGCUCCAGAUGGUCCUUGCGCAGGGACUUCACCGACACAUUCAGCUAAAAGAUCAAUUAGGAGGGAAGCAAGGAGACGCCUAGCUGACAGAUGGAAGACGACCCAGAAACAUCAACAUCAACAUCCAUCAGAAGAUGCUAAUACUACAUUCAGCACACUUGGGGACAUGCUUGCUCUCUCUGACAAAGAGACCUCAAAGUUUACUUCAGGGGCAGCAGCUUGCCGGCAAUGGCCAGAAGGCGAGUUGCAUCGAGAUGUGAUGCCAGGAUCAUGUGGUUAUCCUCUUGGUAUCAGUAGCAAUGAUGGCUGGAAAGAUGAUAACAUAUGUGGCUUAACAAGGUUGGAGUCUGUUUCUACUUCAUCCAUCAACCAAGGGAGUCCGAAAUCGAGCAGCAGAAAAGCAGGUUGCAUGCAUGGUGAGUAUUCUAUGGCAGAGAACAUCAUCGGAUCAGGGCCAUAUAAUUCUGAAGAUCUGCAUCAGGACAGACCAAGGAGAUCGUUAGUCAGAAGUUCGACAUAUCGCUGUGAUGAAAGCGAUGUGCAAUCUCCCCUAAUAAUAAAGCGUGCAGCGCUUCUGUCGUCCGCAUCUCUGGAUGAAGCGCAAAGUGUGGUGACCGAGCGCGAGAUACAUGUGAAUUUUGAAGAACCAACUUACAGCGGUGCAGUGCCAGAGCUAUCUGAAACUGGAGGAAGACUUGUGCAUGGUGGAAAUUCUGACCAUAGUUUAUGUGGUGAACUACAUGCACCGAAGUGGUCGGACUCUUCCCCGGACCCUGCGCAAGCGGGAGCUACAUGCACCGGGCUAACCUUUAGUUUAUGUGGUGAACACGGUUUAUAUAGCAGUCAUGCAGUUCCAGAGUGGCAGGGGGAGGCUCAGUCUUCUGCACAGAACAUGAUUCUGGACCAAGAGCAGACAUUUGCAAUAGAUGACCAUUUUAUUGUCCCUAGCCCACGAUAUUCUGCAUCUCAGGUAUGUUCAUUUUAUGCUACUCAAGUUUCUUCAAAGUAUGGCUAAGCAUUCAUUUCAUAUACUGUAUGAAUUUAUUAUUUCUAACCCCUCUGCUCGACAGAUCGAAGGUUUUUGGUUGGUCUAUGAAUUACUUAUCUGUAGUUUACUAUUCUUUAUCAUUUGUAACAAUGAUCGACGAACUGACUGUUCUCUGUACUCAGAUUGAGAGGAAUGAGCACGAUCGGUGUGAAGAUAAUCAAGCUCCAUCCGAUCAUCUGACAGAAAUAGUAUCCGUCGUGAGCUCCAACGAAGACGAACAACCGAGUCCGGUGUCUGUCCUCGGAUCUUCGGUGGACGCAGAAGACUGUUGCUCAGGAGGUUUUGAGAAAAUAAGUGCAGACCUUCAAGGCAAGUGCACAAACCGUACACUGCCAAAUCCAUUUCCCUGGCACUGUCCAUAUCACUCACUUGCUUACUUUCUCUGCUACAGGGCUCAGGAUGCAACUCCGCCUGCUCAAGAUGGAGGCGACGGACGACGCGGACGACACCGACCUCGCUCUAUUCAGCGACGAUGAAACUGCCGCGAGCUGCGAACUAUCCAACGAAAGCGCACCGACAGCGUCCCGUGCUUUCAAGGACGAAGACGAGAGGGACUUCUCUUAUGUGGCUGAUGUGCUCGCAUUUCUAGCCAACCAGAGUUCUGAGUACGAUCUUCUGCUCAGCGUGCGCUAUCUAUCGUCGGGGUCUCGGGCGUGCGACGACGCGUACGAUGACCUCGAGAGGAAGUACGGUGAGCUCGUCCUGUGGCCGCAACCGGAGAGACGGCUCCUCUUCGACCUGGCGAACGACGUCCUCGUGGAUGUGAUCGCCUGUUUGACACAGUGUAGCAGUCAGGAGUUGGCGAGGAAGUGUGGGCUGGGCAUGGAAUGGGACAGGGAGAGGAUUGUGGAGGAGGUGUGGGAGAGGGUGUGCCGGCAACGGCGCGAGACGGAGUGCUUCCAGGAGGAGAAGCUGAUGGGUGUGGGGUGGCUGGACUGCGAGGAUGUCACCGAUGAGAUGGUGGAAGACAUUGGGAGCAUGCUGGGUGAGGAUCUCCUGGAGGAAGUCAUAGGUGACCUCUAUCUGCUGGAUCUUUUUGGGUAGGGUGGAGGGUUUUUUUCUGCGAUUUUCGCGCACCGGGAAAUAUCAAGAUUUGUGAAAGUAAUGCUCGUGCUUGGUUUAAGAAUGAAAAUUGUUAGUGAGAAGCAAAACUCUGUAGCUUGUUUAUGCCAGCCCAGGUAGACAGGUGGCUGAUGCGAAUGUAAUAUUCCAGUUCCAUGUAUCUAUAUUAUUCUAUAUAUAGGGACGAUAAUCGACGGUAAAGAAUGUAAUUAUUUAUUUAUAUAUAUGGCAGCAGCAGCCAUUUUUUUCCUUCUUCUGCGUGUUGUGCAUUUUCCAGUAUGGAUUCAGUAAUCAGCUGGUGAUCUGUUGGUGUCAUAAGGAAGGUUUUUGUUUGUUUCGCGUUGGUGAACCGUUGCCCUCACCAGUUUUCUCAUUCAUACUAGUAUAUGUACUUAUGUAGAGCGGAGCGACCAGUGGUACAUCAAGUGACCGCAUAGCGCAGUGGAUUAGCGCGUCUGACUUCGGAUCAGAAGGUCGUGGGUUCGACUCCCACUGUGGUCGCAUAUCUUUUUAAAUUUUUCCAUUCCUAUACUGAUUUCCUUUUGCUCUCUUUAAUCUCUUGAUACUAAUUUGCAUUAUAACCACCAUCUGCUUCCCCAUAUCGACUGCAGUUUACUGCGAAUUUACUUUCAUGUUAAUUUGCGUUAAAGAUCACAGUUNNNNNNNNNNNNNNNNNNNNNNNNNNNNNNNNNNNNNNNNNNNNNNNNNNNNNNNNNNNNNNNNNNNNNNNNNNNNNNNNNNNNNNNNNNNNNNNNNNNNAUUCGUUUUAGAUUAAAGCUGGUCUGGCAAGGCCCAACAUUGGUACUAUUUGCCCAACAUAAUAACUUGAUAAUAUUGAAAUGCAUAGGGAGUUAGCGCUACCCGAGGAGUAAUUUUACAUAAACAGGGGGGGCCAGUGCUGAUGGUGUUGGUCCCAAACGGUCUGCCUGCGGGGCCACCAUGGGGAAACUCGAGGUUUGGCACUCGUAGCUAGUUCCAUCCGUCGUGUCCUGAGAACGAGAUACGCGGCUCCUAUCGGGUACGUCGACACGUCGGGCGGCCUUGCUAGAUUAGUUUUACCUUUGACGAGAUAUCUUGUGCAUCGGGAUUCCGGUGAUGCUUUGGGUAAUCUCAGAGUUGAGGUUUUCCACUAGGGAAUCCGACGAGAUCGCGAGCUUCGUGAUUGAGGAUUUCUAUGCGGCUUGUGGUAAUUUGUGAUGGACUAGCUGGAGCACCCCUGCAGGGUUAAAUCUUUCGGAAAGCCGUGCCCGCAGUUAUGUGGCAACGUGGAAGCUUUGUUUAACACUGGUUCUAGACAACUUGAAGUAACUUAAUUAAAACUUGCCAACUGUGUGCGUAACCGUGACUGUCUCUUUCGUGAGUUCCUUCUCCGAUCGAGGACACGGUGGGGUUAUGUCUGACGUAGGUAGGUGUCCAGGAUCAUUCUUUUGAUCAUCAGUAUUUCACGUCCGUUAUGCGUAGAUCUUCCCCCCUCUUAUUUCUUGUACUCGUAAGUUUUAGCCACCUCAUAUAUGCUUAGCCGCUGCUGCAACCUCACCACUUAACCACACCUCACCCAUUAAGCUUUGCUAGUCUUGAUACCUUUGGAAAUGAGAUUGUUGAGUCCCCUGUGGCUCACAGAUUACUACAACAUCAGUUGCAAGUACAGGUAAAGGUUACUCGACGCGAGCGCGUUGUUUGUUCAUUUGGAGUUGCUUCUUCUUCUACUUUGUCUUGUUCGAUCUAGGAUGGGUUCUAGGCCGGCAGCCUGGGAUAGCAAGGAUGGACGUCGUUCUUCUUUUCUCGUUUGUUUUCGUCCGUAGUCGGACCCUGCUCUUACUCUUGAUGAUUAUGUAAUGUACUGAUGUNNNNNNNNNNCGUGGCGAGUGUAAGCCAACCCUGAUUAUAUAUCUCAUCUUUUCAGUACAUGUACUUGUAACGAUAUCCAUUCUUGCGACAUGACGAGAUGCGCUUCUAUCCCUGACGAGGCCUUCGUGCCAAAUUGAGGAUAGGGUCGCAUCUUGGGCGUGACACAAAGGGCCUAUAGGUGGCAUAGUGACCAACUGGACUACAAUUUAAUGUUGUACACAUGAAAGAAAAUCCACUGCUUGACCUUAUUUUGUUAGAAAUUUAUACAUACCGAACCAAUAUCGAACUGAACGAACUGACGGUUCGACCGAUAAAAACCUGAACCGCUAGGCUCACCGGUUCGAUUGUCGGUUCAGUUUUUAAAACUAUGGCCCGCCCCUGACGAACAACCCGUCGCUGAUAUGUUUUUCUUUUCUUGCUCCCUCGCCAUAUAUUCUUGUCAAGCUCCGCCACUGCUAACAUGGAUGAUAAGGGUGAGUGUGAUCACAAUUGAGAAGGGUGAGACUGCGGUGGGGUCACAUCCGACGAAGUGGGCGACAAGGUGAAUGUGAUAGGCUGGCAGCGACGGGGAUGAGAGGACAGAAAUAGGGAGUUGGGUAUGCAGGGGAAGGAGAGCAAUGAAAGUUUAUAUAUCUAUGAGGCUCUGUUCGGUUGAGAGGGUUUGGAAGGGGUUUUGACAGGGAUUGAGGUGGAUUUAAUCCCGUGUAAGUCAAAACCCCUCCAAAUCCCCUCCAAUUCCCUGAUGGCUGUAACCGAACAAGGCCUAAAUGGGUGCGCUCAGACCAAAACACAAGGAUGGAUAACUUGCGCGCGGGGGAUAUAUGUGUGUAACGUGACAUCUAUUAUUAAUUGACGCUUUUCCCUGAUGAAAAGGCGGAGGGAUGCAAGCACAUUUGUACCACAACGCCAUUGACCAGGCUACGCGUAGGGGGGGGGGCACACAAAAACUUCCCUUCCCGUGCUAACGAUUGCAGAUGAAGGCCGCUACAUGUUAGUGCCACAACCUUAAAAUACAAAGGCUCAUGAGCAUGAUUUGAAUGUCUUCUGCACAUUAUGCAGGUCAAGGGGUGUAUAACGAUUCUCUUAGAGUGUCCUUCCAGACCAUGAUUGCCAUAUAAUCAGUUAUUAUGGCGAAGUCGUCAAUAUGACGCACAAAUUGCCUAAGUGCCACCAAUGCUACAUGUCACCCUCUACGAGGACUAGCGAGCCAUCGCCUACACGCGCUCGCUAGCGGGUCGGCCCGACCGUUUCAUGCGAGAGAUUUUAGGAAGGAUUGUGAAACUUCUAAGCCGUUAUUUUUGUUUGUUUUCCUAAUUAUUUCAGAUAUGUUACGGUUUCUUUUUUAAUUGUUUUACUUUUCAAGUUCACACACUCUUUUAGAUAAACAAGUUCACAUACUUUUUGAAUUCAUGAACAAUUCUGGAACUCGUAGAUAUUUUUUCAAUUUGUGAUAUUUUUUAAGUUUAUGCUUUUAUUUAAAUUCAUGAAAUUAUUUCAAAACAUUACGCAUUUUUUUUACUUUACAAUCAUUAUUCUAAAUCCAUGAACUUAUCUGAAUUUUGUGAACAUAUUUCGAAACACACUGACCAUCUUUGAAUUUCCGCAAUCAUUUUUUUCUGAAUGGACGGCCAUUUUUUGAAUCCUCUAGCAUUUUUACGAAUUCACGAAUAUUUGUUCAAUCAACUUUUGUAAAAAUUCAUUAGUGAUUUUGGGAGGGAGCAUAUUUUUAUUCACAACAUAUUAUUAUUAUUUUUUCUUCAAAUUAAUCCAAAAUUAAAGAUAAGAACUGGAAAAGAACAGAAAAAUAGACAUGUGCUAUCGCUGUCUCUAUUUGCGCCCGCCGGGUCAGUCCCAUGUUGCUCGGGCGACGCGAGCGGUAGCACCACCGCCACAAAUCCUCCUAAUUCCUAUUCGGCACCCUUUGCGCUAGUUAACGUGUAUUUCGUUAAGUGGUGCCUGAAGGGGUUAUGUAUGGGCAGGCCCAUCUAAGGUUAUCAGCGGGAGAGAGAUCUGUUUCCGUUUUUUGUUUUCGUUUAGGGUUUUCUGGACCUGUUUUGUUCGUUUUAUUUUACCUUUUUAUUUUUAUUUUUAAUUUUAAAAAUGCGUUAUUUUUUAAAAAUUAUAAAUUUUCUCCAAAUUCAUGAAGUGUUUUGAAAAUCUGCGGAUGUUAUGGUGGCACACUUCAUUUCGUUGAGAUAGCAUUUUCCCCCCAAGUUCUCAUGUUUGGUGAGGAAAAAGAAUACUAUGCGUCAGUUAUGGCCAUAUAUAAGCAGUUCAUGGCAUUUUUUCUUCUUCUUCUUCUUCAUUUUGCCUAGCAGAGAAGGUGUAUGCUGUUGGAGCAGCAAACUGAAGUUAUGAGCAUGCAAACUGUGCUUUGGUGAUGUGGCACUUGAUACGAAAUUCUCUUCUCCUAAUUAUUACUCCCUCCGUCCCAAAAUAACUGUCUCAAGCUUAGUACAAUUUUGUAUUAGAGCUAGUACAAAGUUGAGACACUUAUUUUGGGACGGAGGGAGUACUUAGGUUCAGAUGAUACCAUAGUGUUUACCCAUUUGUUUACGGGUCCAAAAUUGUCUUUGCGAAAGAGCCAGGCCAAUCUAGCGCUAGGUGUUUGUUGACACAUUUCACAAGGAUUCAGGCUAUUUAUUUUUGAAGCUUUGUACGUACCAUUCUAUCAUAAGGACUUUUUUGCUUUAAGGCCAGGAGUUAAGGACUCUGAAAACAUACAAAACAGCAAAACAAAAAACAUGAUCAAUAGCUCACAGGAAGAACCCACUGCAUUCUGCACUCUGCAUUUCUAAAGGGAAUGAAGGACCAUCAGCUCAUUGCAAAAACUACUGCAUUUUCCAGUUACGUGAAAUGCAUGGUCCAAAAUAAAAUAAAAUUGCAGGACGAUCAACUCAUUGCAAGGACCCUACAGCGAAACGCUUUGUCGACCAAGCCGUGGCAAUCACAUCACACGAUGAAUGUCAGAAGAGCUACUACAUUCCAGAAUCACUAGAAAAUUGUUCAGCCAUUGGUCGCGACGCUUUCAGUAGAUCUAGAGCCGCUGAGUUUUCUGAAUCUGUAUCUAUCUAGCUAGAUAGGCAAAAGUUGACGCCAUCAUAUCCGAGGCAGCAAAACUUGUGAACAGGUGAAGUGUCGGACUCCCGCUCUGAUCUUCCUCUACUGUGCAUCGACAUCUGGGUAUUGCAGCGCAUUGUAGCCUGAAUUAGCAGAAAUUAUGGGCGAGUUAGGCGGCAGACCAAUAAUCAAU